rnacentral:lncRNA from 1 species
GCCAGCUCGUCAAGUUUGAGCUUUUUUUACAGGCCUACAUGCAUAAACGGAAAGUUCUCAGACACAUACACAUCCUCUAUGUUUUGCAAGCACAUAUAUAUAGAUCAAACUCAUCGAAGUUACAUAAUCUAUGGGGUGAACAUCAUCGUCUUAUUCGAUUGUCUACUUUUUUAAUUUCUCCACUAAUAACAAACUAGGACAAACAACAUACUUAUUAUUUGCAAAGAAAGAAGUUGGCUGGAGCAUGCAUUGCAUAUUGCAUCGUCGUCCGGCCACACUGCCGCCUGCCUCGCACGCGCGAUCUCACGGGCAGAAGGUGACCUGGUAGUUGCUGUUGCCGCUGCAGGCAUGGGUCUUGGUGUUGUCGCUGGGAAACAGGUAGGCGUCUGGGCAGCUGGGCCCGCCGCAGUUGAGGGUCACGCCGGUGCUGCACGAGAAGAGCAUGGCCAGGUUGUAGCCGUCGAUCACCGAGAUGUCGUAGAAGUCCUGGCUGCCGCCGCCGCCGAUGGUGAACUCGGCCAGCGUCAUGGGAGGCUGCCCCGAGAGCGUGCAGGAGAGUGCGCCGCCGCAGUCGCCCGUCUGGCAGCUCCCGCUGCCGCCGUUGAAGGAGCACCCCGUGCGCCCCCACACCCUGCCGGACUGGGUCCCCGCCGGCACGUCCACGGUCCACGUCUGCCCGGGGUCAAGCUGCGUGCCGCCGCCCACCGGGGUGGCCGCCGGCCACACCGUCGAGCCGCAGUUGUUGGUGAUGGUGAAUGUGGCCGCCCUCGCACUGGUGGCCACCAAGGCCGCGACGAGGAGCAAGAGGGCCGAGGAAGCAGCAGCCCCGGACGCCAUGGAUGCUAUUCCUAGCUAAUUGCGUUGUCUACGAUGUGUGGGUACGUGGCUAGGGCUAGCUAAGAGCUUAAUGCGUUUGUAGUGUGGAGGAGUUUAGGGAGGAUGCAUGCGAUAUUUAUAGCUGCCGGGAGAAGAAAAGUAUACGGCCAAUACGGGGAUGAAGGAAUGACAAAAUUACCCUUGAAUCGAUCAUAUCGCCAGUUUUGGGUGACAUUGAGAUUGGGCUGUUCCUUUCUUUCCUUUCCCGACCUAUUUCAGACAGUUAAUUUCCUGUGUAGGAUGCAACAGUAAAAUUAAAAAUAUUUCCUGACCUAUAAAUUUUGUUCUUUGGCGGUUAAUAAAUAAAAGCGCGCGCGCGCCAGUAGAAAUAUAAAAAAAAUACCAACAACAAAUAUGUUUUCUGUACUAGUAUGCUGAAAUUAUUAUGACAAAAUUAAUUACCUCUAAUAUGAAGCUUCGUGCACAAACCAACCAUGUCCUCCAAAUUAAGUUAGGCAGUAACGCAACGGUAGGCGGCGUGAUUGGCUGCGGUAUCAUCCACAAAAUUCUAUACGUACGUAGAAUUCUACGCGCCGUGGAAAUCCAAAUCCUACGCUACAAGGCCAGACUAAACGACAGCAUUGGCAGCACAUCAAUAUUAAUUACACAAGUGCUUAUUCGACUGCUAAUAUAUAUAUAUAUAUAUAUAUAUAUAUAUAUAUAUAUAUAUAUUUAUUUAUUUAUUUAUUUAUUUAUAACGGAAGCUCUGGCCUUCCGAUAGUCAUGGGAAGCCUUAGUGGUCACGCACAUCAGGAUGGUGGUCACGCACGUGGUUAGAUUGGGCCAGUGGGUUGCGUGUGUUCGCGCGAUUGUGGGGCACGUUUAUGCAUGUGUAAACAUGUGUUAUGUUUUGCGUAAACAGAAAGUGCACACGUAGUGGGGUCGAGUUGGGAUGGACGAAAGUGGGCCAGCGUCGUGUUUGCUGGUCGGGUAGUUGGUUCCUACUCGUGUUUAUGCUAGCAUAUUUAAUGGUUCAGACUUGCAUAACUGGAGAGCGGCAACAAACUUUUCAUUGGUUCGUUUAUGUGGGUCCACACACCACCGUAAUUAGCGCGCCAACGAAGCCGGAAGUAACCGUAUAUAUGGGAACAGAAAAUAUGGAGCCAAUCGUGCGUAGGAGCUCAGACGGAUUUUAGCGUAAAACGUGAACCAAAACAGCGUAAAUGGGUAUGAAUUUUUGUGUAAAUCAUCGAUCUAUUUCAUACCGAAAACAUGCAUGGAAACAAAAAAAAUCUGAUUUAAAUGCUUUAUUUUAUCCAUAAAUAUAGGAUCUCUCCAACAUCCAUGCAUCAAGGCUCGUUACAACCAGUUUAUGAUAUAUACUGAUACUAAUUAUACUACACGAUGAAGUUAUUUAUGCACUAUAGUAGACUGCGUAAAAAUAUAUUUUAUACUGCAUGUGCACAAAUUUAGUAUGACAAGAAUGUGAGUUGAAAAGGAAAUGGAUCGGCAUACGCGAGAUUUAUGGAAUCGUGGCAAAUGACCUCAUUUCUUAUAGCAGUUACCUUUUUCUAAAUUUCUAUUUUGUUGCGUAAAUGUGUGGGUCGUAAAUAUAUCUUAUACAUAUGGCAUAAAUGGUAGGAACCCAAUACACAUUGGAUUAAGUAAAUGAGAUAAUGCAUAAAAUCAAUAAAUCAUUUGCAUAAAAUGUGAAUAGAAAUAUCAUAAAUAGGCAAAAAGAUGGAAGCGGAGCCAUAACUGAAUUAUAGGUCGUAAAAAACUAUUGACAUUGACAAAAAUAUGUAUACAAAAUAGUAUAAAAAUAGGACCGCCGCCCUACGGAACCGUCGCCUCGCAUCUCGGAUGCGCCACCACUUCGUGCCUAGGGGAGGCUGCCGUAUUCGCUCGCGCCUAGGGAAGUCCGCCAUCGCCGCUCCCACCUCACCGUCGUACGCAACUCAAGGGGUCGCUGCCACGUGCAUCGCAGGGAGACCCUGUCGCGCUCGUGCCCCCCAGGAUCCACCGUCGCGGUCGAUGCCACCUCACCGUCGUGCACAUCUCAUGGGGCAACCGUCGCGUGCGUGCCCUCGGGAUCCGAUGCCGCAACCGCUCCCACCUCGCCACCGUGCGCGCCUCAGGAGGGCCAUCGUCGUGCGCUAGCCUCAGGGAUCCGCCGUCGCGAGCGUGUCCCCCCAGAUCAGCCGCAUAUGCCUCUCGGGGGUGGGGGCGUAACUAUCGACGUCGCUAAAACUAAACCCUAGAGAUAUGGAGCUUCUUUUAUAGACGCUUCGGACCUGGUGCGAUUGAACCGGCUGACAACAUCAGGUCAGAGCUUUCGCCAAGUUAUUAGAAGCACAGGGCUUCAUAUAUAUAUAUAUAUAUAUAUAUAUAUAUAUAUAUUACUACAUAGUGUAUAUAUACACUACUAGAACUAGCAUUAUUGUCGCUGAACUUUUGUUAGCUUCACGUUAUAUUAUAUUACCCGUUGAUUUUUUCUAAAACUUUACCCACUUGUCUUAUUCAAAAUAUUUAUUUGAAAAUAUAAAAUUUCAAGUCACACUAAAACAAUCUUAAGUGAUAAAACAAACCACAAUAAAAUAAAUGAUAACACAUUAAAUUUUUUGAAUAAGAUGAAUGGCCAAAGUUUUAGAAAAAAAGUUAACGGUGUCAUAUAUUUAUAUGAAUGGAGGUAGUAAUUUUAUUAAUUUUUUGAAAUAUACAUUUAUACACAUGACAAAAUAGCCUUCAAUUUCAGCUUGUGGUCGUUCUGUAGUCUUCGUGAUAAGAUAUCUAAUAUAUGUAGAACAUGUGUAGAAAAAACUGACCUAAUUGUGGAGAAAUACAUGGCAAUCGUACCUAACAUGCAUACAGUAUUCAAAUAACCCCCAAAAGUUUAAGUUGACAAAAAAGCAUGGUCAUAUCUCUAUCGACUUCUACUUUUUCUAAAGUGUUUUUUUUUUGUCUUUAUGGAUUGCAGCUGCAUCAAUCCAAACAACCUCUACUAAUAUAAAGCGGGAGUUUCUCUCUUCGUGUGUUGCUACUUUCCUAUCCCGCGCGGAAUAUAAAAAAGUGGUGUGUGUGUGUGUGUUUGGGGGAGGGAGGAUUCGAAAAUAGCUCGCUCAGUAUAAAACACUCAGUUUCUACCAUUGCAACUCAUGUCUAUUUGUGUUAUCGUCUAAAUUGUUGUCGCACCCUUUUUGGGCCAGGCCACUUUCUUAGUAGUCCUGUCCUAGUUUUUAUUUCUAGGUAGUGGCGAUACCUAUCGUCCAGUGUACAUGUAGCGACGUGGACCCAUUGUUUAGCAAAGAUCCAUGACACGUUGUUUAGCAAAAAAUGACACACAUUUAGACAACAACUUAAAUGGGUUCGGGCAAACAUUUCUUGUAGUCGUAUCUAUGUCAUGGAUUAUUAGCAAGGUUUUAAAUAGCCAGUUGUAGCGGUCGAUAUAUAUUAUGAUAUAGCCUUUUUAGCAGCAAAAACUUAAGCUAUAUCCUGAUAUAUCCCGCUAUAUCUUGAUAUAUCCGAUACUUACACUUUUAAGAAGCCUGAGGAUAGAUUACGUAUCCCGCUAUUUAAAACAUUGAUUAUUAGGCUUCCACUCAAUCUCCGGUCACCGUUUCAGUCGUUGAGGAGGUCGUCCUCAAGCGACGGACUCAUGGUAGUUGUUGACGUGUUUGGCUUCCAUGCAUGGUCGUAGAAGAUUUAUGCGAAAGUAAUUCCAACGUGCUAGUAGUAAGGUUGCCUCCAACAGAUCACAAAUACCCAAAAUGAGUAAACACAACUAUUCAUCCAUCCAGCAGGACUAUCUCCAGCAGACUCCCUAUCCCACUCCAUAUUUAAAACUCCACUCUGCAAAUAGUCCAAAACAGUACUUUGCACGACCGUUUACACGGUCUGCUGGAGAUGGCCGAACCACACCAGCCGUUCGCAGCCCGCUCAUCGCACUAUUGACACUGAUCUGGGCGCCAAACACCGGAGAUGAACUGUUGGUUGUGCUCUUUGUGGAGGCACGAAUGGUCCACGACCUAGGCAUAGGAGCAGCUCCUUCUCUGUGUACAUCUGGACGGUCCGUGCCUGUGGCUCGGAUGGUCCAUGAUGGCGCAGAGGAUUGUCUUCUUUGCAGCAGACCUAGAUCUCGCCUCCCGGGAUGGACUCCAUCGGAGAGGAGAGAUACUAGGGUGUGUCUUGGCAUCGGCAGGCCAUCCAAAACGCCUCUAGUCGAUGUAGAGCCGAGGAGAGGUGAAGAUUUAAGGUAGAAUAAGGCUAAACUAGGGCUACUCCUAAUGCAUAAGGUAAAAAUGAUAAGUAGAAUUGAUUGAAUCGAUUUUGGGGGAGGGGUCCAAUCGGCCAUAACCCUUCAUCUAUAUAAAGUGAGGAGGUCUGGACCCGUUACAAGUUGGUUCCCGUGUUAAUCCUGUAGGUUUUUCUAAUAAAUCCCGCUAGAAAUUUGCAACACGAACCAAUUCUGCGCACACACGGACCAUUCGCAUUGCCGAACCGUCCGGACCACGGACUGUCCGCCCUAUAGGACUAGACCGUUCGGUAGAACUUUUAGUGCUCAACAUAUUCCCCUCCCUUUUGGUGGAAGUUGACGAUGCAUAUUCACUGCCAGCACCCUUUAGGAAACAAUUGAUCUCACCAGUCAUUUUGUUCCCAAAGUAAGAACUAAGCAUGAUGCAAGUCACUGGCUUUUCAAUCCAAUAGGGUGCAUUCAAUAGAGCUCUAAUGCAUAAAGGCCAUUUCAGAUUGCAUCUUUCUUAGCCAUGACCAUCUGUUCAAUGGAUCAAAAGGUAUAGAAUGAAGGUGCCCCAACCUAAAUAGGCAAAAGGACUAUGCAUAUACCAUGGGUUCAUCAUCAUACCAUUCCACAUUUGAACAAGAGAGACGGGUGGAAAAUAUCCUGGCAUCACAGGAUGAAUAGACAAUGCUUGUUGUGUCGCCUUUUGGGCCAUUUUUAUUCAGAUGUAUUGCCUUUGUGGGUGACCGAAGCUGCUUUGUUGGUCGAUUGCAAGGUACGACCUUUUCAAAAGCAGGGAUGACUUUCACUAGCCAACCAGAAGUUCUAGAUGAUUUUCUUCGACAUACCUGUCUAUGGUCCUCGAUGCUUGAAAGCGUGUGGACGUUGUGACCUCUAGUUGCUCUCGGACCAUUUGGUUGAGUUAGCCGGACUGCCAACAUUGGCUCCAGACUAUCUGGGCAUAGACGUCGGACCGUCCGCGAUGCAUGAGACAUGGAGCUUUGAUCGGCUAUCCGAUCACCCUUGCCCUCGGUGCCUCUGGUCUUAUUAGUCUUCUUGCCCAGAGCCUUUUGAGCGACCACUCCUCGUGACAGAUUUGUCAUGCGAGGAUCACUAAUGAUGAUUCCAUUGCCUUUGUCCUUAUCAGCUACUUCAAGCCGAACUAAGACUUUUUUAUUUGUUAGUUCUAUUAUAUUGACAUGAAAUUGCUAUGUGUCCAUUUGCAUCUCCUGAAAACUCAACCUACCAUCAUUUAUGGUCGAUAGUAUCUAUCGACAAAAAACAUUACAAUCAUUGGUAGCAUGGGAAAAAGAUUUAUGUCACUUGCAGUAAGCAUGUCUCUUUAAUUCAUCUAGAGGAGGAAGAGUAUGGGUUACUUUAAUGUUGCCACUUUUUACUAGUUCGUAAAAUAUUUUAUCACACUUGGCAACAUUAAAGUAAAUUUAACUUCUUCUUGUCAAUUCUCUUGAACCGACUGUAAAGAAGAACAAGGUGAAGAUUUGGCCUUUGUUGGCCAAACAAGUUCAACGGUACAUAUUUCUGCGGAUUCGUCAUCCGAAUUAUCAUAUUCCACUAGACGUAUAGUAUGGCCAACCGAUUUUGAUGUCUCUUCACAUCGGCUUUCACAGGCCAAAGCCUGCUAAUGUAGCUACGCUAUCGAGAAGAACUGGAUGCCACCUAAUUUUUCUCUUAAGUAGGAUCGCAACCCAUUAAAAGUCAGCCUUGCUAACUAUUUGUUCGCGACAUGGAUUUGGAAGCAUCAGUUUCUAGUGUCACGGAACCUCUGGACAUAGUCAUUAACCGAUUCCCCAUUCCCCUAUCGGACUGAAGCCAGAUCAGCUAAUGAUUGAAAGGGAAAUGUACCUUUGGGCCAUUUAUAUAAAUGUUUUGGUGAUUAGAUGCUCAACACAUAUUGUUUUGUGCUAAGUGUCAAAGAGAUGCAAAUGGAAAAGCAAGGUAUGACUCUAGCCUUAGUAAAUUAUUUUUGGUACUAACAUAUUCUUCUAAGUGGUAGGAACCUUGUCAAAUCAAAAGAAAUCGGAUUGGAGAAGUCUGGCUACGCCCAGCCAAACUUGCACCAGCCCGCGGUGCACCGGACAGUCUGGUGUGCAGUCCGGUGUGCACCGGAUAGUGUCUGGUGCCUAGGCUGGUGUGCCCGACGAACAGGCCGCUCUCGGGAAAAACUCAGCGCGUCGUGACUAUAAUUCAUCGGAUUGUCCGGUGUGCGACCAGACUGUCCGUUGUGCCACGGGGCCGGUGGCUGCAAUGGUCAGCUUCGCCAGAAAAGGAAGGAAAUCACGCACUGUUCACUGUCCGGUGGUGCACCGAACUGUCCGGUGCGCCCACGGACAGAAAGCAACUAUGGCUUUCCAAAUGGAGUUCCAACGGCUCCUAGCUGCCUUGGGGCUAUAAAAGGGACCCCUAGGCGCAUGGAGCAAUACACUAAGCACCCAUUGAACAUCCUAAGACGCCGAGACUUCGCAUACACACAUUUGAUUCAUCAUGUUAGAGAUUCGAGCACUUUUCUGAGCUGUAACUCUGUUGUGCUAUUUUGUGUGCUCGUUCUUGUCUUGCGUGCGUGUUGUUGCUAUAACUCUCGUGCUCUUGUGUGUGUUUAUAUCCCCCCUUACUCUUGUGCUUAUUCAAGAUCAUCUUUAUAAGGCAUGAGAGACUCCAAAGUGUGGAGAUUCCUCACAAAGGGAUAUACUUGAGAUAAAGAGAACCGUGGUAUUCAAGUUGAACUUUGGAUCACUUGAAAUGGGUUGAGUGCAACCCUCGACCGUUGGGACGCCACAAUGUGGAGUAGGCAAGUAUUCUACUUGGCCGAACCACGGGAUAAAAAUCACUGUGUCACUUGUCUUUAUUCUUGUGCGAUUCUCUCUACCUCUAUUCACUUCACUUACCUAAUUGCUCUAAGUUUAAUACUCACUUUGUGAAGAGAAAUUAAGUGAAGAAGUUUACUCCGCUAGCACUUCUCUCUCGAACUUGGUUUUCACUAAUCUAAUAUUAGUCCAAGUUUUUUUUGUUAAGCUAUUUUUAUAGGAUCACCUAUUCACCCCCCCUCUAGGUGCUCUCAAUAAUAACUCAUGCUCUCCGGAGAAAAAGUGUUCAUGGAAUUUCUACUCUAAUUCUUCCCAAGAGUUGAUAGAGUUAGGCGAUAGCGCCGCGCACCAUACGAAUGUGGUACCAGUAAGGGACAAUGAGAAUAAACGGAGACGGUAGGCUUUCUUAUCAGCCAAUUCUCCUAGGUGUGCUAAGAACUAGCUUAGGUGCUUGUUCGUGCUUUUCCCGCUUUCACUGGAAAAUUUAGAGAAAUCUGGUAUCUUGGUACCUUGCGGAUAUGGCAUGGUGUCGAAUUGGUGAUUAUAAGGUUUCCGAUAUGAAAGCAUCUAGGCCCCUGGUUGGUUUUAGUUAUUAAUGACAACAUAAUGUUAUAUGUGACUAACGUGUGUUUUGCAGAGACAAAUGGUAAGUUAGGUCGCAUUAUAGGUAGAAGUACUACAACGGUGAAAACAAUCCCGGAGAUAAGAACUCGAAGCGACGGCUAAAACGAUGAAACAAAAGGUGAAGGACUACGGAGUCCGAGUGUCAAGGAGAUGUGGACACUCGUGAUUUAGUUAGGUCUUUUAUUCUCUUUUAGUCGUACUAUAAAGAGGGGUUGUCGCUGAGUAGUUUGACCAAGAGAGUUCUAGUGUAGUGUUGGUGCACAUUCACACUCACAUAUAGUGCUAGGUGUCACUCUAGAACUCACUCACACGUUAGAACGAAAACCGAUUUGAAAAACAACAUAUAAAAGAAAAUAGGGUUUUUGGUCAUGGGGCACCGGACUGUCCGGUGUGCACCGGACUGUCCGGUGUGCACCAUCUGCCAGGUGGGGCCAAGCUGGCCCUAGGGAAGAGUUUUCCCCCGAAGAAACCUGAGAGCGUCAGUUUCAGAAAUGAAUUUUAGUGGCGCACCGGACAGUGCACCGGACUGUCCGGUGUGCACCGGACAGUGACUGUUCACUGUCCGGUGUGCCAUCAGCCCAACGGCUAACUGUCAGAACUAGCCGUUGGAGUCGACCGUUGGCGCACCGGUGGCGCACCGGACUGUCCGGUGCGCCCAUGCACAGAAGAAUGCUGGUAACAGCUAGUUGGUGGGUGUGGGCUAUUUAUACCCCUCUACCCACCAUAUUCAAUGUCUUGCUGCCCUAAUUAAUUCCAGCACAUUGCUAGAGCAUUGCAAGCAACAAAAGCCUAGUGAGGAGAUUAGAGAAUCUUAAUCUCGCAUUUGUUCCUCAUCAGCGCUAGCGAGAGCCACCUAGAGCACACACCACUUGCAUUAGGCUUCUCUUGGUCAAGCGAAAGUCUACGGCUUGUUACUCUUGGUGAUCGACAUCACCUAGACGUCUUGGUGGCGUUGGGAGAUCGGUGAUCACCGUGAAGAUCUUGUUGGUGACCCGACUCAAGUUUGUAAGCGGUCUCGAGGGAUCCACCGCGCCGGAGUGGCAAAGGAUCAUCUCGUAGUGAGCACUUGGUUCUUGCGAGAACCAAGGGGGAGCGAUACCCUUGCGCGGGUGCUCCAACGAGGACUAGUGGAGAGUGCCGACUCUUCGAUACCUCGGGAUAAAUUGGAGGAGUCUUCUAAACCUUGCUUUACAUUCCGCACUUAAUUCAAGCACUUUACAUUGUGUAUUUGUUUAGCAAGUAUUUGAAGUAUUGUCUUAGCAUUGUUGUAUUUCUAGUAUUAUUAUCUUAGUGCUAUUUGUUGGGGUGAAGUUGGGCUCUUGCUUAGGUUUUAAUUAGUGUUGAUUUUUAGAAAAGCCCAAUUCACCCCCCUCUUGGGCAUCGUGAUCCUUUCAAUUGGUAUCAGAGCCUUGUUGCUCUUAGAUUAGCUUAACCGCUAGAGUUACGAUGUCCGGUGGGGAUGGACCUCCUCCCAUUUUUGAUGGUGACGAUUUUCCAUAUUGGAAAAUUCGUAUGGAAGCAUAUUUAGAGGCUAUAGACAUUGGUGUCUAUAAAGCCGCCACACAAGGAUUCCCUGAACCUAGAGAUCCCACAAAUCUUGUAGGUGAUGAGUUUAAUUAUGAGAAAUGGAAUGCUAAGGCCAAAAACACCCUUUUUAGAGGCCUUUGCAAAGAUGUGUGGAUGGACAUUUGUGCUCAUAAAAAUGCUCAUGAUUUGUGGAUGGACAUUUGUGCUGUACAUGAAGGAACUAGAAGUGAGCGUGAGGAAGAUAUCACAUUGCUAUGAGAAAGUUAAAUUCUUUUGAAAUGCUUGCUAAUGAAAAUGCAAAUGCUAUGUACUCACGUCUCAAUAUUCUUGUAGAGGAAGUAAAUGGAUUGGGGCUUACUCAAAUCUCACAACCGGAUGUUGUGAGGAAGAUUCUCAGUGUCCUCCCAAUAGACAAAUAUGGACACAUUGUCACUAUGCUACAUCAAAUGGAUCUUUCAGUUACCACACCUACACAGAUAUUGGGAAAGAUCAAUGCUCAUGAGAUGUACAUGCACAUCAAUGACAAAGAUGAGUCAUCUUCCAAGAGAAAGGAUUUGGCUCUCAAAGCAAAUCAAGAAAGAAAAGGAAAAGCUAAAAUACAAAUUGAGGAAGAAUCCUCAAGUGAUGAUGACCUUGAUGCUAACAUUGCCUUGAUGGUAAGGAAGACCACCAAGAUGUUAAAGAAGCUCAAUAGAGAAGGCAUCAAAUUUGAUUCAAGAAAGAAGAAAUUCUUUUCCAACAAAAGAAAGCCCAUUUCUGAGAUGGAUUGCUACAACUGUGGAGAGCUUGGUCAUCUUGCUCAUCAAUGUAACAAGCCCAAGAAGAACAAGUUCAAGGGCAAGAAAGAAGAUGACAACGAUGAUGAGAAGAAGGAAAGAGAUUCUUCAAAAGGAAGGAUGGGAAGCAAAAGAGGUUCCACAAAAAGAAAAAUGGAAAGGCAUAUAUUGUUGGUGACUGGCUCACUGACAUUGAGUCAUCAAGUGGAUCUUCUUCAAGUGAAUAAGAGAAUGAUGAAAAAGUUGCCGCGAUCGUCGGGGACUUCUCUUCACCACCACCAUCGCCAUCAUCGACUUUCUCACCUAUGCCUCAUGGCUAGAGGUGAACGAAAGGUACAAAAUGAUAUUGAUAUUACUGAUGAUAGUGAUAGUGAUGAGGAAUUUGCUUCACUUCAUAUGAUGAACUAGCUGACUUGCUUAAAGAAUAUACUUGUCGGGGACCAUAAUUAGGGGUACCCUCAAGGCUCCUAAUUCUCAGCUGGUAACCCCCAUCAGCAUAAAGCUGCAAAGGCCUGAUGGGUGCGAUUAAUUCAGCGAUCAGUCCAUUCGAGGGACUCGAUCACGCCACGUCCGAGCCUAGCCUCGGACAAGGGCAGCCGACCCCGGAGGAUCUCCGUCUUGCCCGAGGCCCCCCUCCAGCGGCGAACAUAUUUUCGGCUCGCCUGAGGCCCUGUCUUCGCCAAGAAGCAACCCUGAACAAAUCGCCGCACCGACCGACCAAAUCGUAGGAGCAUUUAAUGCAAAGGUGGCCUGACACCUUUUGUAAUACCCAAAAGUGUAAAUAAAGAAAAUAGAGAUGAUUUCCUUAUAUGAUUUGCCUCUAUUAUUUUGAACAUGGGAAUAACCACAUUUUAAAAAAUGAAUAAUUAAAAAAAAUGACAUAUAAAUAACCUGUGCAUCAUGCUGGAGUUUAAAUGUUUGUGCAUUCACUCAUAGUGAUAAUGAUAAUAGAAAUAUGCUAAUGAUGAAAGAGGCUUUUAACCUAAUUUAGAAAUUAAGAUGUAGAGAAAAGAAGCAAAAAUACCCUACAAAAUAAAGAGAAUAAAUAUACAAACAAAUAUAUAUAUACUUUUAUUACAAGAUUUGAAGUGGUACAUUUGAUACAUGUGCAAGUUCACAACUAAAUUUAAAUUUAAAAUUCAAAAUCAACAAAUUGAGAAAAGAAAAUAAAAAGAAAAAUGCACCACCUGCGCAUUGGGCCCAAAACCACCUCUUCGGCCCAUUUCCAAACUUCACCCCGCCAGCCCAUACUCCUAUGCGCUCGCAACCCCUCUCUGCUUUCACUACGUGGCUCGCCUGACUACAACCACCGUUCAAUGCCGACAAGUGGGCUCCACUCGUCAUAUUCACGCGGACGUCUUCGUGGUCAUCUGCGCGCCGGGUUGCCACUGGCAUGUGGCCCCCCGCAGAUCGGGCUUCUCCUCUCAUUUCGGGUCACUUACCUGUGGGCCACCAUGUCAGGCCCAUCUCCCACGCGAGCUCCAACUGAGCUCCGCUGGUUUGUCGCCCGCGGGUGCGCCGCGCAAAUCGCCGCGCCGCUCGGAGAUCCACAACCGAAUGCAUGGCGGAAUUGCGGGGGUUGUUGGCUCUAACCCUAGGUAUAAGAUCCGGCCCCACAGCUCUCCCCUCUGGGACCGACCGAAGUGAUUGCGUUGAGCCGCCAUGAAUCCUAGGAGGAAAGGAUCCGGUCCGCCACCCUCCCACACCCCCGAUUGGCGAUAAAGUAAGAGCCGUAGUAGUAACUUGUAUGUUGGGGUUCGCCCGGACCUGCCAAUUGGAGACAAAGAACUUUCGGGCGCGUGAAUUCAUCGAUCGGAACUUCGCCGUGGACUCUGUGCUGCUAACGGGCCACCGCUCCCAUCGCCGUGGAGCUCUGUGCGUCGAUUUCCGGUAAGAAACACCCCAUUGAGUUCGUCUGAUGCUUCUCUGCGCACAACAUUGAUACGGUGUGGUUUGGGGCGCCUGGCGAGGCUUUGGUGCGCUCCGGUGAGCCUUGCCGCCAUGGGCGAAAUCCAUGGUAGGUGUCGUUCGGGGUCGGUAAUGGGGCCGAGUAGUUUCGCAGUGUCGCAAGGAAUGAUGUGUUCCUCCUCACCCGACGGAAUCGGAGGUUUGGGUGGGCCAAUUUCUCGCCGCCGUAGAGAUUCCGCCGUGAAGUCAUUCGUGCCGUGGUCAAGCAUUUCGGCCACACCAUUAUCGGAUAGGUCUUCUCCGUUUGGUUCGCCUUAUCUCGCUGUGCAUUGAAGUUAAAGUAAUUUGGGUGUGGUGCUCCGGCGUUCGGGCGCGGCCCUCACCGGCAGGGCGCCACCGCGCCCAUGCAUGCGCCGUGGUCUGGACUUAGAGCUGUGCGAUUCCCGGUAUUACACCCACCAUUUCGCUCGCCUGGUUAUCCACUUCGUAUAGCGCCGGCCGAAUUGAGAGCUUGAGGCUAGAACAGGGCGGCGGGGUUCCCUGGCAAUGGCUCGGCCGUGGGAUUGGGGCUGCGCCGCCGCGGCGUGUUGUUGGGGAAGAAGGUAGCGCCCUUGCUGUCCGAACUGUUGAUCGGUUGGGGAAGGGCUGCGAUUUGAUCUUAGUACGGAUUCAGCUAGGGCUCCUCACGACCGUAGAUUCAAUGAUGAACGGGUAAUCGGGUGUGUGGGAUACUUUUGAUCCCGACCCUAGGAUUAGGAUCUAGCGGUCAGUAACACGUACUGGUUUAUCAUGUGAGCUGAUCAAAUCAUAGCCAUCAGAUAUAAUCCAACGGCUCAUCUCCACCGAUACCCCUUCGCGGGCACAGAUUUGCACAUAGGCCCCUAAAGUAUUUAGGUAUUAACCCGCGGUCCUGGCUACUGGGUCUGAGUCUUGGACCCCUUUUGCGCUCUAGCCCCUGGAGUUUCUGUUAAUAAUACGCCAAGUCCAGAGACCAAUAAAAAUAGAAAAUUAAGUAUAGAAAAUGAUUUUUAAUACAAAAACAAUACUAGAAACUUGUAUAAUUCAUAUAUAAUUCAUUUUAGCUCCAAAUUGAGUCAUUCCAGUUGGAAUAAUUUUGUAUUAAUAUUUUCUACCAACUAGUAAUACUGUCUAGCAGUGAAACUUGAAUUAAAAUUAUUCAUUUGGAUUAAUCUAUUCUAAGCACUAAAUGAUUUCUGAAAUUCAUAACUUGGUAACCACAACUCCGAAUUUAGUGGUUCUUGUUUCUACGAUAUCAUAACGUCACAUAGAUUAUUUUAUUUUAGUUUGUUCUUAUGUUUGGUGUAAUGUUAAUUUUUCAUAUACCAUGUUUGUCUGUAUUGCUACGACUAGCAGCGAGGUCACGAGUCACUUGAAGAGCAAGUUGGUACCUGGAAUCUCAAGUCCCAGGAAAGUUGUGCCCUUGAUCACUUCUUUUUACCCACUCAUGUUCUAAUUAAUCAUAAUGAUCUGCAUAGGUUAAUUUUGAUGGGACCCAAUAGGUUACCCUAGUUUGAUUAUCUUUAUACCUUGUUUACCACUGAACUUUUUGGGUAGUACUUGCUAGUGCUUUAUGUGGUUUUGGGUAUGAAGAUACAUUAUUCAUGAUUAUACUUUUGUUACCCGUUGUUAUUUACUGUUCAUGAUAAGAUCAUUAUGUUAAUUGGAACAUGGAGCGACCACCCGGGAAAACAGUGCUACCACAAGGGUUUAUGGACGCCCUUGGCUGAUUAAUUAGGAAAGCUAGUGGAGGACUACCUUACCCGAAAGGGGCAAGGGCAGUAGGGGAGUGGUCAGUGUAGGGAGGUCCUUGGUUGAUUUUGCUGCGAUGGCGGUCAGGCAAGAACCCUGCAUUGGAGCUUCCCAUAAACUGUAGCGGGUUUUCUGAAGCUAGUGGAAUUUCUAAAGGCCUCGUAGUGUUACCCUGCCUCGCCUCCUCGGUAGAGGUGUAUGGGAAGUCGCGAUCCCUUGGCAGAUGGGUAACAUGACUUGUGGGUAAAGAUGCGCCACCUCUGCAGAGUGUAAAACUGGUAUACUAGCCGUGCUCACGGUCAUGAGCAGCUCGGACCCUCACAUGAUUAAUUUAUGGAACUAAAUUCAAUUUGUCAUAUGCAUUGCAUCGCAGGUGAUGUUGUUACUUCUGUUCUACUAUUUAAUUGGGUUGGUAUUUACUUAUACUUAGUAAUUGCUAAUAAAAUUUUGACCAACUUUAAAAGCAAUGCUCAGCUUCAACCAUCCUCUUUGGUAAGCCUUACACUUCAUGAGCUCCCACCUUUGGCGGGUUCAUGCACAUUAUUCCCCACAACUUGUUGAGCGAUGAACGUAUGUGAGCUCACUCUUGCUGUCUCACACCCCCCACAGGUCAUGAACAGGUACCUCAGGAUAAGGCGCAUGGAGGAUGCUGUGCGAGUUCGCGAGAGGUCUAGGUCGUCGUCUCCCAGUCAACUUUGGGUUGCUGGACCGUUGUCUCCUUAUAAUGUAAUUAUUUAUUUAUUUUGUAUAGAACUCCUAUUAUAUAGUAAAGUUGUGACAUUCGAUCCUGUGCCAUGAUUCAUCAUAUGUGUGAGACUUGGUCCCAGCACACCUGGUGAUUAUGUUUGCGCCCGGGUCUUGGUGCCCCGAAACCCGGGUGUGACACCUUUAUCCUGACGCGCGCCCCCCAGCUGACAGAGCCGAAGUGACCGCCGUCACUUCGCCGCUCCACUGACCGGUCUGACAGAAAGACAGCGUCGCCUGCGCCGCUCCAACUGCGGUGCCACUUGACAGAGUGAGGCUGACAGGCAGUCAGGCCCGGCCGCAGGCACCAUAGGAAGCUCCGCUUCGCCCGACCCAGGGCUCGGACUCGGGCUAAGCCUCGGAAGACGGCGAACUCCGCUCCGCCCGACCCAGGGCUCGGACUCGGGCUAAGCCCCGGAAGACGGUGAACUCCGCUCCGCCCGACCCAGGGCUCGGACUCGGGCUAAGCCCCGGAAGACGGCGAACUCCGCUCCGCCCGACCCAGGGCUCGGACUCGGGCUAAGCCCCGAAAGACGGCGAACUCCGCUCCGCCCGACCCAGGGCUUGAACUUGGGCUCAGCCCCAGAAGACGACGAACUCCGCUCCGCCCAACCCCAGGGCUCGGACUCCGCCCUGGCCUCAGCCGACGGUCUCCGCCUCGCCCGAACCAGGGGCUCGGACUCGACCUCGGCCACGGAAGACAGACUCGACCUCGGCUUUGGAGGAGCUUCCACAUCGCCCAACCUAGGGCACAGACCUGCCACGUCAACAGGAGGCGCCAUCAUCACCCUACCCCAAGCUAACUCGGGCCACGGGGAACAAGACCGGCGUCCCAUCUGGCUCGCUCCGCCAGAUAGGCAAUGAUGGCGCCCCGCAUACUCUGUGACGACGGCGGCUCUCAGCCCCCUUACGGAAGCAAGAGGACGUCAGCAAGGACUCAACAGCUCCGACAGCUGUCCCUCCGCCAGGCUCUAGCGCUCCUCCGACGGCCACGACAUCACACCAGCAGGGUGCCAAAAUCUCUCCGGCUGCCACAACGGCAUGUACUUAGGGCGCUAGCUCGCCCCCGCUAGACACGUAGCACUCCGCUACACCCCCCAUUGUACACCUGGAUCCUCUCCUUACGCCUAUAAAAGGAAGGACCAGGGCCCUCUUAGAGAGGGUUGGCCGCGCGGGGACGAGGACGAGACAGGCGCUCGCGUGAGGCCGCUCGCUCCCUCUCCCGCGUGGACGCUUGUAACCCCCUACUGCAAGCGCACCCGACCUGGGCGCGGGACGAACACGAAGGCCGAGGGAUUUCCACCUCUCUCACGCCCAUCUCCGGCCACCUCACUUCCCCCCUUCGCGCUCGGCCUCGCGCCGACCCACCUGGGCUGGGGCACGCGGCGACAUUUCACUCGUCGGCUUAGGGACCCCCCGGUCUCGGAACGCCGACAGUUGGCGCGCCAGGUAGGGGCCUGCUGCGUGUUGACGAACAGCUUCCCGUCAAGCUCCAGAUGGGCAGUCUCCAGCAACCUCUCCAACCCGGGACGGUGCUCCGUUUCGGGAGCCUUGAGUUCAUGUCCCUCGACGGCGGCUACGACAUGAUACUCAUUCCACCGCUGGGCGACAGCAGCAAUGGCGGCCGACAGUCCGCCCGUCGGCGGCGGAAUCGACGACGCCUUCCCCGCGUGGUGGAAAAACAUCCUUCGAGCUCGCCCCGCCCUCUUCCCCGCCGACGGAGGGGAAGGCGGGGCAACCAAGGCCAAGCAGGAGGCAGCGCCUUGUCGGCUGUCGAGCGAGUCGACAGCGCCAGCACCUCAACGGGGGGCGCGCCGGGCAUCGACCUCGCUCUUGAGAUGAAGACGAGCGCUAUCUCUCCGUGACACGCCAAUCCCGAGCAAGCGGACGACGCCAGCACGCUCGCGGAAGGCUUGCUGGGUGUCACCCUCGUACCUGAGACGACGGUGCAGUCAGUCCCCGAUGUGACUUCAUCACCGCCCGUCGACCAAGAGGUAUCGACCGAUUCCCAUCCCACGUCUUUCGGAUUCAGCCUCGACCCGCCUAGCGGCUUCGCUUUGGCGGGCGCUCUCGUAGAGGCGAGUCCAAACCCUCUGGGGUUUUGUAUGCGGUCACCUUGGGACCGGCUGACGGACGUCACGACCUACGGGCCCUCUGGGUCCGAGGAAGACGACGAGCCCAGCUUCUGUUGGGAUUUCUCUGGACUUGGCAACCCCAGUGCCAUGCGGGACUUCAUGACCGCAUGCGACUACUGCCUUUUCGACUGUUCCGACGGUAGCCGUAGCCUCGGCGACGAGGACUGCGGCCCAAGCCGCGAAUGUUUCCACGUCGAUCUAGGGGCUCCCUCCGAAGGCAACCAUCUCGGCAUGCCGGAGGACGGUGAUCUCCCUAGGCCGGCGCCUCGCGUUGACAUCCAACGGGAGCUAGCUGUGGUCCCCGUUCAGGCGGGGGGCCGUGACCCACAGCUCGAGCAAAUCCGCGGGGUGCAGGCCAGGCUCGACGAGGGAGCAGGAGCGCUUGAGCCAAUCCGCCGGGACGUCGGGCAGGCAUGGGCGGCCCAACCUCUAGCCGGAGAAAUACGUCAUCUGCCCCAGGGCUUCCAGCACCGCAUCGCUGACGAUGUCAGGGUCAGGCCGCCACCCGCAUCCAGUGGGGUUGGCCAGAACCUGGCUGCUGCAGCAAUGCUCCUCCGCGCGAUGCCGGAGCCAUCAACCACCGAGGGGCGGCGAAUCCAGGGAGAGCUCAAGAAUCUCCUGGAAGGCGCCGCGGUCCGACGGGCCGAGAGCUCCGCCUCCCGAAGGCAGGGGUACCCCUCAGAACCUCAUGCCGCGACUUCCCGAUUCAUGCGGGAAGCCUCGGUCUACACCGGGCGCACGCGCAACACAGCGCCUGCGGCCCCGGGUCGCCUCGGCAACGAGCACCAUCACCGCGACCGUCGGGCCCACCUCGACGAGAGGGUGCGCCGAGGCUACCACCCCAGGCGUGGGGGACGCUACAACAGCGGGGAGGAUCGGAGUCCCUCGCCCGAACCACCCGGUCUGCAGGCCUUCAGCCGGGCCAUAUGACGAGCGUCGUUCCCGACCCGGUUCCGACCCCCGACUACUAUCACAAAGUACUCGAGGGAGACGAGACCGGAACUGUGGCUCGCGGACUACCGUCUGGCCUGCCAACUGGGUGGAACGGACGAUGACAACCUCAUCAUCCGCAACCUCCCCCUGUUUCUCUCCGACACCGCCCGCGCCUGGUUGGAGCACCUGCCUCCGGGGCAGAUCUCCAACUGGGACGACCUAGUCCAAGCUUUCGCCAGCAACUUCCAGGGCACGUACGUGCGCCCCGGGAAUUCCUGGGACCUCCGAGGCUGCCGACAGCAGCCGGGAGAGUCUCUCCGGGACUACAUCCGGCGAUUCUCGAAGCAGCGCACCGAGCUGCCCAACAUCACCGACUCGGAUGUCAUCGGCGCGUUCCUCGCUGGCACCACCUGCCGCGACCUGGUGAGCAAGCUGGGUCGCAAGACCCCCACCAGGGCGAGCGAGCUGAUGGACAUCGCCACCAAGUUCGCCUCCGGCCAGGAGGCGGUCGAGGCUAUCUUCCGGAAGGACAAGCAGCCCAGGGCCGCCCAUCGGAAGAUGCCCCCGAGGCGUCAACUCAGCGUGGCGCCAAGAAGAAGGGCAAGAAGAAGUCGCAAGCGAAACGCGACGCCGUCGACGCGGACCUUGUCGCCGCCGCCGAGUACAAGAACCCUCAGAAACCCCCAGGAGGUGCCAACCUCUUCGACAAGAUGCUCAAGGAGUCGUGCCCCUAUCACCAGGGGCCCGUCAAGCACACCCUUGAGGAGUGCGUCAUACUUCGGCGCCACAUCCACAGGGCCGGGCCACCCGCGGAGGGUGGCAGGGCCCGCGACGACGACAAGAAGGAAGAUCACCAAGCAGGAGAGUUCCCCGAGGUCCGCGACUGCUUCAUGAUCUACGGUGGGAAAGCGGCGAACGCCUCGGCUCGGCACCGCAAGCAAGAGCACCGGGAGGUCUGUUCGGUGAAGGUGGCGGCGCCAGUCUACCUAGACUGGUCCGACAAGCCCAUCACCUUCGACCACGCUGACCACCCCGACCAUGUGCCGAGCCCGGGGAAAUACCCGCUCGUCGUCGACCCCGUCAUCGGCGACGUCAGGCUCACCAAGGUCCUCAUGGACGGAGGCAGCAGCCUCAACAUCAUCUACGUCGAGACCCUCGGGCUCCUGCGUGUCGAUAUGUCCUCCGUCCGGGCAGGCGCUGCGCCCUUCCAUGGGAUCAUUCCUGGGAAGCGCGUCCAGCCCCUCGGACAACUUGACCUUCUCGUCUGCUUCGGAACGCCCUCCAACUUCCGAAGGGAGACCCUGACGUUCGAGGUGGUCGGGUUCCGAGGAACCUACCACGCGGUACUGGGAAGACCAUGCUACGCGAAGUUCAUGGCCGUCCCCAACUACACCUACCUGAAGCUCAAGAUGCCGGGCCCCAACGGGGUCAUCAUCGUCGGCCCCACGUACAAACACGCGUUCGAAUGCGACGUGGAGUGCAUGGAGUACGCCGAGGCCCUCGCCAAGUUCGAGGCCCUCAUCGCCGACCUGGAGAGCCUCUCUAAGGAGGUGCCAAACGUGAAGCGUCAUGCCGGCAACUUUGAGCCAGCGGAGAUGGUAACGGCCGUCCCCCUCGACCCCAGCAGCGACGCCUCCAAGCAGAUCCGGAUCAGCUCCGGGCUCGAUCCCAAAUAGGAAGCAGUGCUCGUCGACUUUCUCCGUGCGAACGCCGACGUCUUCGCGUGGAGUCCCUCGGACAUGCCCGACAUAUUGAGGGAUGUCGCCGAGCACUCGCUGGACAUCCGAGCCGGAGCCCGACCCGUCAAGCAGCCUCUGCGCCGAUUCGAUGAGGAGAAGCGCAGAGCCAUAGGCGAGGAGAUCCACAAGCUAAUGGCGGCAGGGUUCAUCAAAGAGGUAUUCCAUCCCGAAUGGCUUGCCAACCCUGUGCUUGUGAGAAAGAAAGGGGGGAAAUGGCGGAUGUGUGUAGACUACACUGGUCUGAACAAAGCAUGUCCGAAGGUUCCCUACCCUCUGCCUCGCAUCGAUCAAAUCGUGGAUUCCAUUGCUGGGUGCGAAACCCUGUCUUUCCUCGAUACCUACUCAGGGUAUCACCAAAUCAGGAUGAAAGAGUCCGACCAGCUCGCGACUUCUUUCAUCACACCCUUCGGCAUGUACUGCUAUGUCACCAUGCCGUUCGGCUUAAGGAAUGCGGGCGCGACGUACCAGCGGUGCAUGAACCAUGUGUUCGGCGAACACAUUGGCCGCACGGUCGAGGCCUACGUCGAUGACAUCGUAGUCAAGACGAGGAAAGCCUCCGACCUCCUUUCCGACCUUGAAGUGACAUUCCGAUGUCUCAAGGCGAAAGGCGUCAAGCUCAAUCCCGAAAAGUGUGUCUUCGGGGUGCCCCGAGGCAUGCUCUUGGGGUUCAUCGUCUUCGAGCGGGGCAUCGAAGCCAACCCGGAGAAGAUCGCAGCCAUCACCAGCAUGGGGCCCAUCAAGGACUUGAAAGGCGUACAGAGGGUCAUGGGAUGUCUCGCGGCUCUGAGCCGCUUCAUCUCAUGCCUCGGCGAAAGAGGUCUACCUCUGUACCGCCUCUUGAGGAAGGCCGAGUGCUUCACUUGGACCCCUGAGGCCGAGGAAGCCCUCGGGAACCUGAAGGCGCUCCUCACGAAGGCGCCUAUCUUGGUGCCCCCAGCUGCCGGAGAAGCCCUCUUGGUCUACGUCGCCGCAACCACUUAGGUGGUUAGUGCCGCGAUUGUGGUCGAGAGGCAAGAAGAGGGGCAUGCAUUGCCCGUUCAGAGGCCAGUCUACUUCGUCAGCGAGGUACUGUCCGAAACCAAGAUCCGCUACCCACAAGUUCAGAAGCUGCUGUAUGCGGUGAUCCUGACACGGCGGAAGUUGCGACACUACUUCGAGUCUCAUCCGGUAACUGUGGUGUCAUCCUUCCCCCUGGGGGAGAUCAUCCAGUGCCGGGAGGCCUCGGGGAGGAUUGCGAAGUGGGCGGUGGAAAUCAUGGGUGAGACAAUCUCGUUCACCCCUCGGAAGGCCAUCAAGUCCCAGGUCUUGGCGGACUUCGUGGCCGAAUGGGUCGACACCCAGCUACCAACGGCUCCGAUCCAACCGGAGCUCUGGACCAUGUUCUUCGACGGGUCGUUGAUGAAGACAGGAGUCGGCGCAGGCCUACUCUUCAUCUCGCCCCUCGAUAAGCACAUACGCUAUGCGCUACGCCUCCAUUUCCCGGCGUCCAACAAUGUGGCCGAGUAUGAGGCUCUGGUCAACGGGUUGUGAAUCGCUAUCGAGCUAGGGGUCCGACACCUCGACGCUCGCGGUGACUCGCAGCUCGUCAUCGACCAAGUCAUGAAGAACUCCCACUGCCGUGACCCGAAGAUGGAGGCCUACUGCGAUGAGGUUCUGCGCCUGGAAGACAAGUUCUACGGGCUCGAGCUCAACCACAUCGCUCGGCGCUACAACGAGACUGUGGACGAGCUGGCUAAAAUAGCCUCGGGGCGAACAACAGUUCCCCCGGACGUCUUCUCCCGAGAUCUGCAUCAACCCUCCGUCAAGAUCGACGACACGCCCGAGCCUGAGGCACCCUCGGCACAGUCCGAGGCACCCUCGGCUCGGCCCGAGGCACCCUCGGUUCGGCCCGAGGUACCCUCGGCCCCCGAGGGCGAGACGUUGCGCGUCGAGGGGGAGCAAAGUGGGGUCAUGCCUGAUCAAAACUGGCAGACCCUGUACCUGCAAUAUCUCCACCAAGGAGAACUACCCCUCGACCGAGCCGAAGCUCAGCGGUUGGCGCGGCCGCCAAGUCGUUCGUCUUGCUGGGAGAUGGGAAGGAGCUCUACCACCGCAGCCCCUCUGGCAUCCUCCAGCGAUGCAUCUCCAUCACCGAAGGUCAGGAACUCCUUCGGGAGAUACACUCGGGGGCUUGCGGCCAUCACACAGCACCUCGAGCCCUUGUCGGAAAUGCUUUCCGACAAGGUUUCUACUGGCCGACGACGGUGGCCGAUGCCACUAGAAUUGUCCGCACCUGCGAAGGGUGUCAGUUCUACGCAAGGCAGACCCACCUGCCCGCUCAGGCUCUGCAGACGAUACCCAUCACCUGGCCUUUUGCUGUGUGGGGUCUGGACCUCGUCGGCCCCUUGCAGAAGGCACCCGGGGGCUACACGCACCUGUUGGUCGCCAUCGACAAAUUCUCCAAGUGGAUCGAGGUCCGACCCCUAAACAGCAUCAGGUCCGAGCAGGCGGUGGCGUUCUUCACCAACAUCAUCCAUCGUUUCGGGGUCCCGAACUCCAUCAUCACCGACAACGGCACCCAGUUCACCGGCAGAAAGUUCCUGAACUUCUGCGAGGAUCACCACAUCCGGGUGGGCUGGGCCGCCGUGGCUCACCCCAUGUCAAAUGGGCAAGUAGAGCGUGCCAACGACAUGAUUCUACAAGGGCUCAAGCCUCAGAUCUACAACGACCUCAACAAGUUCGGCAAGCGAUGGAUGAAGGAACUCCCCUCGGUGGUCUGGAGUCUGAGGACAACACCGAGCCGAGCCACGGGCUUCACGCCGUUCUUUCUAGUCUAUGGGGCCGAGGCCAUCUUGCCCACAGACUUAUAAUACGGUUCCCCGAGGACGAGGGCCUACACCGACCAAAGCAACCAAGCUAGUCGAGAGGACUCGUUGGACCAGCUGGAGGAGGCUCGGGACAAGGCCUUACUACACUCGGCGCGGUACCAGUAGUCCCUGCGACGCUACCACGCCCGAGGGGUCCGGUCCCGAGACCUCCAGGUGGGCGACCUGGUGCUUCGGCUGCGACAAGACGCCCGAGGGCGGCACAAGCUCACGCCCCCCUGGGAGGGGCCAUUCGUCAUCGCCAAAGUUCUGAAGCCCGGAACGUACAAGCUAGCCAACUGUCAAGGCGAGGUCUACGACAACGCUUGGAACAUCCAACAGCUACGUCGCUUCUACCCUUAAGAUGUUUUCAAGUUGUUCAUAUACCUCGCUCCCACGCAAAGUUUAGUCAUCAAGGAAGGGUCGGCCUCGCCUCGGCAAAGCCCGACCCUCCCUCGGGGGCUAAAAGGGGGGAACCCCCUCUGCGUCGAAUUUUUUCCUCGAAAAAAGAUCCUUUCUGCCAGAAUGUCUUUCGUGCCUUUUGACUACUUCGAAAGUGGAUCCUGAAAACGACGGAGUACACGUAAGCAGCAAAGGCUGACCGAGCCGAGGGACUCCUACGCCUCCAGGAUAUGGAUACCUCACUCAUCACCUUCUGCGAUAAGUAACUCACGUUCGGAUAAGUGAUUCCGCGGACCGAACAAGUCUUCACGUUCGGAAGCUCUUCUGCCGAAGCGAUUCUUCGAGCCUUCUCAACUGCGUCCGUGACAGAACCCCAUGGACGGGUAAGAGUGCACGUAAGCGGCAAGGCCGACUGAGCCGAGGAACUCCUACGCCUCCGGGAUACGGAUACCUCACUCAUCACCUUCCGCGAGAAGCAACUCUCGCUCGCACAAACAUUUCUGUUACCGACAAAAAGGUCCAGAUACUCGGAAUAAGAGGAAAAGAGACACAACUUUACAACACGGCGAGGGUGUGUGUUGGCCUCGGCGGCCGCAGAAAACACACGCUACAAGAUGAUCCGAUCCUGCAGGCUCGGAUCUUGACGCUUGAAGGGAGCAGCAGCACCCUCAGCGUUGACAACACCUUCGGCGAGGUCCGACCUGGCCUCGGACGGCGACACGGUCCAAGGGUCUCCGCUCUGAAGGACAACAUCAUCGCCACGCCCGGGCCAUCGCCGCCAGGGUCUUCUCCGAGAAUCCGGCUCGGGCAGGCGGCUCGGCUGGCCACCCCGAGGCCUCGGCCAGCUGUCCCCCGAGGACACCAGCCCGACCCGAGGCCUCGGCAGGUCAAUUCCGGCGUCGGUCCCGCUAACGGACGACCCGGCUAGGAUCCGGCCGACCAGAUCUUCUUUUCGAGCCAACUCCGCCUCUGUUCGUGCUGACACCGCUACCCCUGGCCUCGGCUCAUCGAAGAGCGGCCGAGGGGUUCCUCUAACUAAGCAAGGGAAGCCUCGGACAACAAGGCUGACCGAGCCGAGGGACUCCUAUGCCUCUGGGAUACGGAUACCUCACUCGUCACCUUCACACGGGGCGACCCACGCUUGGUGAAGCGGUUCAGACAACCAACAGGCGAGUCUUAGUGCCCGAAAAUGAGGAAAAACACGGCUCCGUGCCGAAAUUACAUACAUGUUCAGGCCUCGACAGCCACAAUGAACAAAAACACUGGCAUUCGAAGUGCCAUUACAGACGGAACUCCGGUUCCACCUCCGCAGGUGCGAACAACCCCACUCGACGGGGGGGCCCGCGGAGCAACAGAAGACUGACGGGCGGCUCUCCGUCGCCCGCUCCGGCAGCAGCAACAACGACUCCCGCUCCGGGUGGCCAAACUACAACAGCGAGGGCCUCAGGGCGGAUGCUGCUGCAAUCUUGCCCUCGCCCACGCCGAUGCUCGAGGGGCGAGGACAAGUACAAAGAGCCGGAGGCCCGAAGCGCGGAUGGUGGCGGUGAUCCCGUCGGCAACAGGGACUUCUCGAGCCGCCUCCACCUCGACACCGACGACAGGGGCCGUCAGCCCUCCGGCAGAUCCCCACUCAGAUCCUCCCGGACGAGUGGGGCGCCGACCUCCGCGCGGAGGCGCCGUACCGGUGCAAAGGCAGGACCGCCCCAGAACACGAACGCCGCCCUAGCAGCUCGCGACAUCUUGGGCGGUCCUCCCGUGCACACGGCGCGGCAGCCGCCUUCCGGCAGGAGGGGCACCGGGAGCCAAGCCGACGAGCCCAACGCGCUGAGGCUGACGACGCCCGCCGUCGACCAGCCCCGCGUUGUCGAAGUCCGGCCCGCCCGCAGGGCCAGUGAGCGCCCUCUCCCUCGAACACCGAAGGAGAGGCCGACCCACAAACCCGCGCGGGAGGUAGAGCUCCGGCUGAGCCUGGCCUCCACCCUAGCGAGGAUGACGAACAUCCUUGAAGCCGAGGGUGGGACCAAGAUCGCAGCUCGGCUUGCUUCUCCCCACCCAGGGGCUGGUGGUCACCGUCUCGGGUGACCGCCGGCGGAGGGGUACAGCCGGGCUGGCUGAUGAAAAUCCUUGAAGCCAAACGAUGGCUGAAAGGUACCAACUCCCACGGAGUUGCGUUCCCCCAACGACAAGGCGGAAAGACGGCGGGUAUCCCCCAUCCGGGGGCUUGGAAGGUGGAAAGACACGAUGCAUAAGGAAGCGCGAAGACAUGGUCGCCUUCUAAGGGGGUCACCCUCCUUUUAAAGGCGACUUUCCUUACUUGCGUCCCCAGCCGUCGCGGGCUGAGUCUUCUCCAACACGCUCCAAGGCCCUCCUCCUACGGCGCGGGGGCUGGGUCCCACACGUCAUGCAAGCCGGCUCAAAACAGAAGAAGCCAAACCGCCGUGCGCGAUGCGUACAACCGCCCAGCGGUUACAAGCGGCUCUCCACUUUUGCCCAGACCAGCGGGCGAAAGGGCGGGCAGCCAUGCAGGCGGCAUCCAACCGCGCCAAGUGGGCACACUUCUCCGACUCCCAACACGCCCAGCAUGGAGGCCCAGGCCCACGCGUCAUGCAACCGGCGCGCCGAAUGCUUCGUGCAUGCAGCUACACCGCCACUUGCGCCACCGCCGCGCCUCCUCGACUGUGAGACCAAUACCGCGACUCGGGGCGACCCAGCGCAUGACCCAGCAGCGCCAGCCUGGCGCGACGGUCAAUGCGGCCAAAAAUGGGCCGGCAAUAAUGGCAGUGGCAGGCGGGCAGGAGCAGCGGUCACGUCGUCAGCCAAGCCCACGUCCCAUCCGGGGGCAGCGAGGGAACCCUCUCUCGCGGCGUGAAGACAACACGCCCAUGUUCCGUUCCUCGAACGGCUCGCGCACGCGCAACGGCCGCCCCGCGAACCACUCGCCCCGUCGCAUUAACUCCGCGGCGGGACAGGCGGCGCCUCUGGCAGGAGAAGCGAGCGACGCUUCGCCUUCGCCAUAAUGACCGCGUCAAAAAAGGUACGCCGCGUCGUUCGAUUUCGUAUCCUUUUCCUUUUUUCCUCUUUCUCUCUCUUGCAACAGGGACCGGGAAAGGGGGAUACCCUGAAAAGGAUCCUUCCCCAUGAAGGAACCAGGCUCCGAGCCUCCCUACUGAUCAGAGGUUCGAAGGCUGGCCCCUCGGAAGGGUUCAACAGCCGCCUCAGAGCGCGUGGGCUCCACACCCACUACUGGUUAGAGGUUCGAAGGCCGGCCCCUCGGAAGGGUUCAACGGCCGCCUCAGGCUGCUCGGGCUCCGCGCCCACUACUGAUCAGGGGUUCGAAGGCUGGCCCCCGAAGGGUUCACAGCCGCCUCAGACACAGAGCGAGGGAUGACCAUGGGUACGUUCGAUACAUAACCAAGGCUCGGGCUGCGCUCCCGAGGUACCCUAGGACAUUUCCGAGACCAGCAUGAACGAUCUUGUAACGGAAUCCCAUCGGAGGGAGGCAUCGAGCCCUCAGACCCCGUUGCCAGGGGACCAGGUCCGGCAGAUCACCCGCAGGUACUUUUGGGCGCGCCUCCGGGCCUCUAGCUGACCCCUAACGAAUGGGGCACGGACGUCCACUCAGAUUACCCGCCUGCAGCUCACCGGAGACACCAUGUUCGGCGCCCAUCGAGGGCAACAUGGCGCUUCCCCCCUCCUCCUUGCGGAAAGGCGACGCAGGGGCGUAUGUAAAAAAGUCGAGUCUGUCCCUGAUCGCCCUCUCGCCCUGUGCAGAGGCUCGGGGGCUGCUCUCGCAAACCCGGCUCCGGCCGAACCGUUGACAGCGUCAACAUACCAGCCCGAGAACUUGGGACCCGACCGUACACCCGGGCUACGGCCAGCUCGCAUGAGGGAACGACCAGACCAGCCGAAGCAUUACGCGAGGCAUUAAGACCUCGGAGGAGUGAAACCACUCCUCCGAGGCCUCGGGGGCUACACCCGGCGGGUGCGCUCGCGCGCACACACCGGAACAAAACGCAACCGAGAAAGGCUGGUCCCCUUGCAAAAAAGUGCGACGAAAGCCUCCAAGCGAGUGCUAACACUCCCUUCGAGGCUCGGGGGCUACUGUUGGGGACCAUAAUUAGGGGUACCCUCAAGGCUCCUAAUUCUCAGCUGGUAACCCCCAUCAGCAUAAAGCUGCAAAGGCCUGAUGGGUGCGAUUAAGUCAGGGAUCAGUCCAUUCGAGGGACUCGAUCACGCGACGCACGAGCCUAGCCUCGGACAAGGGCAGCCGACCCCGGAGGAUCUCCGUCUCGCCCGAGGCCCCCCUCCAGCGACGAACAUAUUUCUGGCUCGCCCGAGGCCCUGUCUUCGCCAAGAAGCAACCCUGACCAAAUCGCCGCACCGACCGACCAAAUCGCAGGAGCAUUUAAUGCAAAGGUGGCCUGACACCUUUAUCCUGACGUGCGCCCCCAGCCGACAGAGCCGAAGUGACCGCCGUCACUUCGCCGCUCCACUGACCGGUCUGAAAGAAAGACAGCGCCGCCUGCGCCGCUCCGACUGCAGUGCCACUUGACAGAGUGAGGCUGACAGGCAGUCAGGCCCGGCCGCAGGCACCAUAGGAAGCUCCGCUUCGCCCGACCCAGGGCUCGGACUCGGGCUAAGCCCCGGAAGACGACGAACUCCGCUCCGCCCGACCCAGGGCUCGGACUCGGGCUAAGCCCCGGAAGACGGCAAACUCAGCUCCGCCCGACCCAGGGCUCGGACUCGGGCUAAGCCUCGGAAGACGGUGAACUCCGCUCCGCCCGACCCAGGGCUCGGACUCGGGCUAUGCCUCGGAAGACGGCGAACUCCGCUCCGCUCGACCCAGGGCUCGGACUUGGGCUUAGCCCCAGAAGACGACGAACUCCGCUCCGCCCGACCCCAGGGCUCGGACUCCGCCCUGGCCUCAGCCGACGGUCUCCGCCUCGCCCGAACCAGGGGCUCGGACUCGACCUCGGCCACGGAAGAUAGACUCGACCUCGGAUUCGGAGGAGCUUCCACGUCGCCCAACCUAGGGCACAGACCUGCCACGUCAAAAGGAGGCGCCAUCAUCACCAUACCCCAAGCUGACUCGGGCCACGGGGAACAAGACCGGCGUCCCAUCUGGCUCGCUCCGCCAGAUAGGCAAUGAUGGCGCCCCGCAUACUCUGUGACGACGGUGGCUCUCAGCCCCCUUACGGAAGCAAGAGGACGUCAGCAAGGACUCAACAGCUCCGACAGCUGUCCCUCCGCCAGGCUCCAGUGCUCCUCCGACGGCCACGACAUCACACCAGCAGGGUGCCAAAAUCUCUCCGGCUGCCACAACGGCAUGUACUUAGGGCGCUAGCUCUCCCCCGCUAGACACGUAGCACUCCACUACACCCCCCAUUGUACAUCUGGAUCCUCUCCUUACGCCUAUAAAAGGAAGGACCAGGGCCCUCUUAGAGAGGGUUGGCCGCGCGGGGACGAGGACGAGACAGGCGCUCGCGUGAGGCCGCUCGCUCCCUCUCCCGCGUGGACGCUUGUAACCCCCUACUGCAAGCGCACCCGACCUGGGCGCGGGACGAACACGAAGGCCGCGGGAUUUCCACCUCUCUCACGCCCAUCUCCGGCCACCUCACUUCCCCCCUUCGCGCUCGGCCUCGCGCCGACCCAUCUGGGCUGGGGCACGCGACGACAUUUCACUCGUCGUCUUAGGGACCCCCUGGUCUCGGAACGCCGACAAUACUCAAAUCAUUAGGAAGUCAAAAGCUAAAUGUGAUAGGUUGAAAAAUGAAAAUGAAUCUUUAAAUGCCAAAUAUGACAUAGUUAUGAAAGCUAGUGAUGAAAUGAAAGAAGAGAACAAAACUAUGUCAUCAACUGUAAAUGAGCUCACAACCUCCCUAAAAGAUGCUAAGAAUAAAUGUGACAAGUUAAAUGAAGCUAAUAGGGAGUUGCAAGAUAGAUUAGUAAAAAUCAAGGAAGACUAUACUAAGAUUAAAUUUGAUCAUGAUAAUCUUCUUGUUGAGAAUGAACUUUUAUCUUGCAAAACACAUGAGGCUAUUAACCCUGUUGUUAAGAUUGAUGUAGCAACCUCAUGUGAUGAUUUGAGUCAAGGAGAGCAAACUAGUCUACAUGAUGAAUUGACCAAAAAAGUUGAAGUCUUUACUUUAGACAACCAAAAAUUGAAGAGAUACUUGACUGAUGCAACUACUAGAGGAAAGGUUGCUAUUGAGAACAAUGAUUUCAACAAUGAGUUGGCAGUGGAUAAUGAAAGGCUUAAAAAUGAGGUCAAGAAACUUAAGAGUGAAAAUGAACAUCUUGCAACAAGUGUGCAAAAGUUCAACAAGGGCCAAUACCUCCAAAAUGAGUUGCUUAUGAACACUGUCAUGAAAAACAACAAGAGUGGUAUUGGAUACAAUGCUUUUGUGCAAAAGAAAGCUACUACUCAAUACAAGCCAAAGCAGACUCACAAGCCUAUCAAAUGCUUUGAGUGUGGAAAAGAAGGUCACUUUGCCCACAACUGCAAAGCCAAACCACCAACUCCCUUGCCUAAGCACUCAAGACCAUUUGCUUUCAAUGCUCAUUAUGUUCUAAGAAAAGUUGCAAAUGGAAAGGUCAAAGUUACAUUCCUAGGUCCACCAAACAAGAGUAGACCUAGACAAAUUUGGGUUGCAAAGUCCUUGAUUGAGAGAGUCACUGGUCCUAUGCAAUAUAGGGCCCUCAAAACUCAAGCUUGAUUUGUCUGUGGAUGUAGGUGAACUACAAGACCAAUGAAAGCCAUUGGGUUAUUGACAGUGGAUGCACACAACAUAUGACAGGCAACCCACGGAUGUUCAUCUCACUUGAUGAGAAUGUUGAUGGACAAGACAAAAUCACAUUUGGAGACAAUUCAAAAUGGAAAGUGCAAGGACUUGGCAAGGUGGCAAUUUCAAAUGAUUUAUCAAUUUCAAAUGUUCUCUUGGUUGCACCUUUGAGCUUCAAUUUAUUAUCAGUGGGUCAACUCUGUGAUCUUGGACUUCAAUGUUAUUCACUCCAACAGAGGUUAUUGUAUCAAAGAUGGAUGAUGAAUCAAUGGUGUUCAAGGGAUUUAGAUACAACAAUCUCUACUUAGUAGAUUUCACUUUAGAAGAUGCAGACUUAAGAACUUGCCUCUUCACCAAAGCUUCACUUGGAUGGCUUUGGCAUAGGAGGCUUGCACAUGUUGGGAUGAGCACACUCAAGAAGGUAUUAAAGAAGGACAUGGUUAGAGGAUUAAAGGAUGUGGUAUUUGAAAAGGACAAGCCUUGUAGUGCAUGUCAAGCUGGGAAGCAAGUUGCUAAUACACAUCCUACUAAAGCUUUCAUGUCAACAUCAAGGCCACUGGAACUACUUCAUAUGGAUUUAUUUGGACCUACAAAUUAUGUAAGUGCUGGUGGCAACCUCUACUGUCUAGUGAUUGUUGAUGAUUUCUCAAGAUACACUUGGGUGUUCUUUCUCCAUGACAAAUCUGAAGUUGCAUCUAUAUUCAAGAAGUUUGCCAAGAAAGCUCAAAAUGAAUUUGAUUGCAAUAUCAAGAAGAUUAGAAGUGAUAAUGGUAAAGAAUUUGAUAACACCAACAUUCAUGAGUACUGUGAUGAAAUUGGGAUCAAGCAUGAAGUAUCUGCAAUAUAUACACCUCAACAAAAUGGAGUUGUCGAAAGGAAAAACAGGACCUUGAUCACACUUGCAAGAACAAUGAUUGAUGAGUAUAACACACCGGAGAGGUUUUGGGCCAAAGCUGUCAACACUGCAUGUUAUGCAUCAAACAGACUAUUUCCUCACCGGCUGCUUGCGAAGACUCCCUAUGAACUGCUAAAUGGGAAAAAGCCAGACGUCUCCUUCUUCCGGGUGUUUGGAUGCAAAUGCUACAUCUACAAGAAACACCAUCACCUAGGGAAGUUUCAAAGACGUUGUGAUAUUGGUUUUCUAUUGGGUUAUUCAUUAAAGUCCAAAGCAUAUCGAGUAUUCAACCAUGCACUGGCGUGGUAGAAGAAACAUAUGAUGUGGAAUUUGAUGAGACUAAUGGCUCCCAAUGAGCACUUGAAAAACUUGAUGUAGGUGAUGAGCCACUUAGUGAAGCAAUGAAGAACAUGCCAAUUGGAGCUAUCAAACCAAAAGAAGAUGAAGAAGAGGUGCAAAACAUUGACAGGCCUUCUUCAUCAAAUGUACCACAAGAUGAUGAAAAAGAUGAGAGGCAUGCAAAUGAAGAUACAUUUGUCUCUCAUGAACAAGCAAGGGUACAAGCCGAAGAUGUUGAUGCUCCAGGAUCUUCUUCCCAAGUGGUUAACAGGAGAAACUCAUCACUACUUCAAGCUCAUCCUCAAAACCAAAUCAUUGGGAGUCCUUCACAAGGGGUUAUUACUCAAUCACAUAGACAUGCUUCUUUUAUUGAACAUCACUCCUUUGUUUCUUGUGUUGAGCCUACUUGUAUAGACGAGGCGCUAUAGGAUCCGGACUGGGUGAACGCUAUGCAUGAAGAACUUAACAACUUCACCCGUAACCAAGUUUGGACCCUGGAGAAGCCCCCACAAGAUGCAAGAAUCAUUGGAACAAAGUGGGUGUUUAGAAAUAAACAAGAUGAUCAAGGUGUGAUUGUAAGGAACAAGGCAAGACUUGUUGCAAAAGGAUUCUCUCAAGUUGAAGGCUUAGAUUUUGGAGAGACCUUUGCACCGGUUGCUCGACUGGAAGCCAUCCGUAUCCUACUUGCAUAUGCAUCAUGCUAUGAUAUAAAACUUUAUCAAAUGGAUGUAAAAAGUGCAUUUUUAAAUGGCUUCAUAAAUGAACUUGUAUAGUUGAGCAACCACCUGGAUUUGAAGACCCUAGAUAUCCUAACCAUGCUUACAGGUUGUCCAAGGCGCUAUAUGGACUAAAGCAAGCUCCAAGGGCUUGGUAUGAGCGUCUUCACGACUUCCUCAUCGAAAAGGGCUUCAAGAUCGGGACCGUCGACACAACUCUAUUCACAAAGAAACAUAACGGUGAUAUUUUCAUUUGUCAAGUAUAUGUUGAUGAUAUAAUCUUUGGCUCGACAAAUGACUAUCAUUGCAAGGAAUUUGGUGAGUUGAUGUCGAAGGAGUUCGAGAUGUCAAUGAUUGGUGAGCUGACGUACUUCCUCGGCUUUCAAGUCAAGCAAAUGAAAGAUGGUAACUUUCUCUCACAAGAGAAGUAUACCAAAGACUUGUUGAAAAGGUUCAACAUGGAGAAGUGCAAACCAAUCAAGACACCUAUGCCAACAAAUGGACAUCCCACCUAGAUGAGGGAGGUAACCCGGUUAAUCAAACUCUCUACCGUUCUAUGAUUGGUAGUUUAUUGUACCUGACCGCAUCUAGGCCCGAUAUCAUGUUUAGUGUCUGCAUGUGUGCUAGAUUUCAAUCUAAUCCUAAGAAAGCUCAUCUUCGCGCUGUUAAAAGAAUUCUUAGGUAUCUCAGGCACACCACAAGUGUUGGUCUGUGGUAUCCCAAAGGAGCUACUUUUGAUUUAAUUGGCUAUUCCGAUUCGGAUUAUGCCGGUUGCAAAAUUGAUAGGAAAAGUACUUCUGGGGGAUGCCAUCUACUUGGUAGAUCACUAGUUUCAUGGACAUCCAAAAAGCAAAAUAGUGUUGUCUUGUCAACUGCCGAAGCGGAAUACAUUGUCGCGGGUGCUUGUUUCACACAAAUUUUAUAUAUGAAACAAACUCUUCUAGACUAUGGCGUAGUUCUAGAAAAGGUACCUUUGUUGUGUGAUAAUGAGAGUGCUGUUAAAAUUGCUAAUAAUCCUGUACAACAAUCUCGCACCAAGCACAUUGAUAUCCGUCAUCACUUCCUUAGAGAUCAUGUUGCUAAAGGAGAUAUCAUUUUAGGAGUGAGGUCGGAAGAUCAAUUAGCGGAUAUUUUCACUAAGCCACUUGAUAAGACCCGCUUUUGCAUGUUGAGAAAUGAAUUAAAUAUACUUGAUCUUAGAAAUUUUAUUUAAGAUGUCAAAUGGUGUUGUCAAGCUUGCAUUGCAUAUUUAAAUUUCUUGUAUUGCAUCUAGGGCUUGUCUAACCUAGUUGAGAUAACCGCCAACAAAGCGAGUGAAAAAGCUUAACUCGGAUCAAACUUGACAAGUCUUAGUUUUAAGCUUUUAGCACUUAAAUUCUUACUUUUUAUGCAAUUGUUGGUUCUUGAAAUAUGCAUGAGGUUCUGCACUUAGGGGGAGUAUUCAAAACUCAAAUCACUCAUGAAAACCCCUAGUGCAAGGCCAAAAUGCAAAUUUCACCAUUUGCCUAUUUUCUCUAAAAUUAUCUAGCCUAUGGCAAAAUAUUUUGAAAAUUAUGAGAAAAUAUAUGAGGGUGUCAAUACCUGUCCCAACAAGUGUUAUUUUGUGUGAUUAUAAGUUGGGAUUUGGUUUGGUUGAAAACUAGAUAGAAAAAUUCAAAAAUUUCAGAACUUCCCUCAGUCUGGGCUCACCCGACAGUCCGGUGUGCACCGGACACUGCACUGUGCACUAUCCGGUGCACCGACCGCGCGCGCGCAAGAACUCCCUUUCCUGUGCGUUAUCCGGUGGUUCACCGGACAGCUACUGUGCGCUGUCCGGUGUGCACCGGACAGGCACUGUAGACUGUCCGGUGCGCCCAUAUUCGGUUUUUAAAAAAACCUUUCCCCGCCCGAGCCCGGGGCAGAGAACAUUUCCUCAGCUCCUCUUUGCCUCUCUGGCGAUUUCCACUCCCUCGCCAGCGACCUCCCCUCACCGGUGGCCACCGUGCUCCGGCGACCUUGUGCUCCUGCCCUCACUCGGUGAGCAGCUCUGGCUCCCUCUCCCUCCUCUCUAUUUCUAUUGAGCAGUGCACCCGUUUUUCCACCUCCAGUGCUCAAUUCAAACCAAAUUCAAAUCCUUUCAAUUCCUGUGAAUCCAUGUGGUUGGAGAUGUUCCUCUGUGUCCCUUGCAUACCCUUGUAGGUUUUCAGCUCCUUAGGGAGGGUUUCACAGCCUCAAAUGUCCUUUUCACCGAAAACUUAAACCUUCGCCUACCACAUGCUCGGUGAAAUGCCCAAACCAGCCAAAAAUGCUCCGAUUGAACCCAAAUUUUUCAGGCACCUUCAUAACACCUCCAGUAACAUAUUUGCCAAAUUUCAUGCCAAUCCGAUAUACCAGGCUUCAAUUUCACUCAAAUCCUCGUUUAGAGCGAUCGUUUCCGAGCUGAGUGCCCAAAUUCCAUUUUCUUCCCCUAAAUUCAAACCAAGCACACACUUCACUCACAUUCACCCAUAUAAACCUAUUCGUGAAGUAUCGGCUCCAUUCCAUGUCAUUUCAUACCUCAAUUCGAAUUCCAAACCUCCUAUGGCACUAUUUCUCGUUCAAACGCCGUUUUCACGUCGUUUGACAUCUCGAUCGCCAUAUCUCUCAUUUUCUAUGCCAUAUUUCUCUGUGUAUGUAUUUAUUCACAUUUCAUAUACUUAUGACUAUGUGACUAAUACGUGCUCACCUCUUCUGUCAUUUCAGUGACCUUGCCUGCCCGUGAGCCGUCUCCUGUCCUGCCUGGAUUUCCACCUCUCGUGUGAGUCUUCCAGGUAGACAUCUUCUCUUUUGAUAUUCUAUCGACUAUUAUCGACUUGUGCUUAGCUUCUCUCUCUCAUUUGCAGUCGUCAGGUCAGGAUGCCGCGCACGAAGAAUGUGUCGGCGCCAGAGGGAGGCAAUGAUGAAAAUCCUCGUCGCCCCUUCAGGCAGGUCAAGGGAAAGACCGUGUACUUGGAGCAGCAGGAAGGCCGUAAGAAGAGGCGUAUGGACAGGGCAGCCCGAGCAGCGGCAGCAGCGGCAGCAGCCGCUGAGCAGGCCGAGCUAGGAGAUCAGCCAUAGACUCCUUCAGAUCAGAUUGCGUAUCGAGUUCGUCGCCUCGCCUCCCGGCCUCGCUCCUCCACUCCCACCACUGCUUCCACUCCACCACCCACUUUGCCUGCUCCCGUCACCCCUGCUGCACCAUCCACCACCUCCACUACACCAACUUCCACUGCUCCUCCACCCGCUCUCGUUUCCGCUCCACCUAUCCCACCUGCUCGCUUCCGGGAGCGCGAUGAGACUGAGGUGCGACCUCUGGCUGCAGAUCCCAGGUUGUUUGACCUUCAGCGUGCUACAGCGGCACGGGUACGUCGGUUCAGAUACGUACCCGUGAAGUCUUGGUUACCGGCUCAGAGGGACCCUGCUGUAGUUGACCUCUUCAGCACCCGUAUUCAGGAGUCCUUUUUCAGAGCUCAGUUGUCUGCACAGAUUGCACUGCGAGUGCACCGGCUUUUGGACCUUCCCGCUUUUCUGCUAGCCACCGGUGCUGACUCUGAGGUGCACCUCUCCUAUCUGCCUGGCCUUCUCACCCUUUUGACUACCAGUGGCAGGUAUGUUGAGGAAUGGGUCCGAGUCUUCUACACGACUGUAUGGAUCGACCCUGAUCACCACUGGAUGAGGUUUCGUUUUGAGCGAGAGGAUGUCACUAUUCAUGCCAGCCAGAUUCGCUAGCUCUUUGGAUUUCACGAGUCAUCGACUCCUCUUCACAGCUUAUGCUAUGUCACUUCUGACCCUCCUCGUCGCCCUCACCGCGGUGUUGCUCCUGGUACCGCUCACGUCGCGGCUAUGUUCCGACCGCCCUUCUCAGAUGGGUCGCGACGCUCUCCGGUAGACUUCACCACCGCAGCAAAGUUUCUAUAUCAGCUUAUGAGAUGGACACUUCUGCCGCGGAUGGGGUACAGGGAGGCUACCACUCAUAUCCAGCUCUGGCUCCUUGGUGCCCUGGUCUCUCACUCUGAGUUUGAUGUUGUGGAUUUCCUUAUUUGUGAGAUCGAGGACACCGUAUUGGAUGGUCUGCGUGCACGUUGAUAGCUGCCAUAUGCUCACUAUCUAUGUCAUAUUUUUGCUCAGCUGAUUCGGCCUCCACAGUUCCAGGGCACACUUGAGGCCUCACGCCUCAUCUUUGGGUCCUACCGUCCAGCGCCUGAGGAUCCUGUGCCAGCACCUACUCCAGUAUUUGACACUCAGGCCGAGGAUACUGCUCUUCAUCAAUUCAAAGCUCAGGACGCAUCAGUUGAUGAUGAUGAUGAUGAUGAUGAUUUUGGGAUUCCGCCUCCUAUGCCUCCACGCUCACAUGAUCAUGAGGCUAGGAGUUCUCGUGCUACCCCUACUGCCCCUCCUGCCAUUGACCCUGCUCUUGCUUCGAUUCUCCAGACACUUAAUCAGUAGCAGGCUCACUUGGCAGUCGAGCAGACUCGCCAGGCAGCAGCCCAUCAGCAGUUGUCCAAGAGGAUGCUCUCGAUGUUUCAGACAAUACAGGACAUGCAGGAUUCUCUUCAGCGACAGCUUCUUCAGGAUCGGGCUGAGAGCAGGGCAUUCAUGACUCUUAUGCUACAACAUUCUAGUAUAUCGAUUCCCCCAGUUCAGUCAGUCCCGCCUCCACCUCUUCAGGCUCCUGUUGUGCCAGCGAUUCAGCCAGGACCCCCUGUUGGUCCUUCCUCCUCUCCGCUCCGGCCGGUCACCCUGGCUUUCAUGUCACCGGUCUUCAGCUCCAUCUACCCUCAGCCGUCAGUGCCACCAGCUUCUGUUGUUCCCACUAGUGUUGUGGCGGUGUCUAUGACCACUUCAGAUCUGGCAGCCCCUGCAGCGCAGCCUCAGUCCGAGUCAGUACCAGCUCCAGCUUCUACAGCAGAUCCUGGAUUCGAGACUGACUCUGACCCCCAGCUGGCAUUCGCUCUGCUGCCUCGACCGCGACCGGAUGCGCCCCCGCCGCCUCCUCCCACUUCUGAUGUGUAGGUUUGGGUACCCUUUUGGUGUUUGACGCCAAAGGGGGAGAGAUAUGAGUUGUGAGAGCUAGGGGGAGUUAGGGAGUUAGUAGAGAGUCAUUUUGAUGUAAUAUAUGUGCUUGUUACUCUCUGUAUUAGCUUGGUGCUUUUGGCUCACAAACUCUAUAUAUACUCUCGAUGCUUAUGUUGACUGUGUGUGUAUAAUGUUUUCACCUUAUAUGUUAUCCCCAGUUUGUUAGUUCUUGUUCAUCGAUUUGAUUUCACUUUUAUAUGAACAAGAAACUUACAAUGUGUAUGCGCUCAUUCUUAUCAUUAUUAUGGUACACAUUCUUUCUGUCAAAGAUUACUGAGUAUAACUAUCCAUCUUUUCUAUUGACAGAAACUUAAAAACAAACUACUCUCACAAAUCUUGUAGGGUUGUCAUCAAUCACAAAAAAGGGGGAGAUUGAAAGCAUCUAGGCCCCUGGUUGGUUUUAGUGAUUAACGACAACGUAAUUUUAUAUGUGACUAACGUGUGUUUUGCAGAGACAAAUGGUAAGUUAGGUCGCAUUACAGGUAGAAGUACUACAACGGUGAAAACAAUCCCGGAGAUAAGAACUCGAAGCGACGGCUAAAACGACGAAACAAAAGGUGAAGGACUACGGAGUCCGAGUGUCAAGGAGAUGUGGACACUCGUGAUUUAGUUAGGUCUUUUAUUCUCUUUUAGCCGUACUAUAAAGAGGGGUUGUCGCUGAGUAGUUUGACCAAGAGAGUUCUAGUGUAGUGUUGGUGCACAUUCACACUCACAUAUAGUGCUAGGUGUCACUCUAGAACUCACUCACAAGUUAGAACGAAAACCGAUUUGAAAAACAGCAUAUAAAAGAAAAUAGGGUUUCUGGUCGUGGGGCACCGGACUGUCCGGUGUGCACCGGACUGUCCGGUGCACCAUCUGCCAGGUGGGGCCAAGCUGGCCCUAGGGAAGAGUUUUCCCCCGAAGAAACCCGAGAGCGCCAGUUUCAUAAAUGAAUUUUAGUGGCACACCGGACAGUGCACCGGACUGUCCGGUGUGCACCGGACAGUGACUCUUCACCGUCCGGUGUGCCAUCAGCCCAACGGCUAACUGUCAGAACUAGCGAUUGGAGUCGACCGUUGGCGCACCGGACUGUCCGGUGCGCCCAUGCGCAGAAGAAUGCUGGUAACAGCUAGUUGGUGGGUAAGCGGUCUCGAAGGAUCCACCACACCGGAGUGGCAAAGGAUUAUCUCGUAGUGAGGACUUGGUUCUUGCGAGGACCAAGGGGGAGCGAUACCCUUGCGCGGGUGCUCCAACGAGGACUAGUGGAGAGUGCCGACUCUUCGAUACCUCGGGAAAAAUUGGAGGAGUCUUCUAAACCGUGCUUUAUAUUCCGCACUUAAUUCAAGCACUUUACAUUGUGUAUUUGUUUAGCAAGUAUUUGAAGUAUUGUCUUAGCAUUGUUGUAUUUCUAGUAUUAUUAUCUUAGUGUUAUUUGUUGGGGUGAAGUUGGGCUCUUGCUUAGCUCUUGCUUAGGUUUUAAUUAGUGUUGAUUUUUAGAAACGCCCAAUUCACCCCCCCCCCCCUCUUGGGCAUCGUGAUCAUUUCACGAUACGGCUAUCCCGAUAUGGCUACACUUACGCUGAGCCUUUCUCGGAGUAGUUCAUCCAUUUAUUCCCUAAUUUUUUCCAUAGCGCCUGGUAAACUUCUGGUGGCGAUCCACCAUGAAGUAUGAUAAGAAUUUCUCCGUUGCCUCCUCCUCAGUCUUGGCGAUUUGGCGGCGUGUGUCGUCCCUCACUUGUCUCAUCAAGUCUUCAUAUAUGUGUUGCUCAUCGGUCGACAGGCUUCUGACAGCCGGCCUAAAAAUAUUGUCUAGGGAGAUAUCAGUGUGAUCUUUAGAACCGACAAUUUGAGGCCCUGAUUUCAGUAUAUCUAGACACCAGGUCCCAAGCGGAGUCGCCAAAAAGAAUGUUGGCACCGAUCUGGGCGUCAAACAUUGGAUAUGAACCGCUAGCGGUACUCUCUAUGGAGGCGCGGAUGGUCUUCGGCAUAGGGCCGGACGGUCCGUGACCUAGGCGCAGGAGUGACUCCUCUACGUACAUCCGGAUGAUCCGCGCCUGGAGCUCGGAAGGUCCGCAUGGCACAGAGGGUCGUCUUGUUCGCAGGAGACCUAGGGAGAGACCUCGUUGGGAAGGAGAGAUCCUAGGGUGUGUCUUGGUGUCGGCAGGCCACCCAAGACGCUUCUAGUCGACUUAAAGUCGAGUAGAGGUGAAGAUUUGAGGUAGAAGAAGGAUAAACUAGGACUACUCCUAAUGUGUAAGGUAGAAAUGAUAAGUAUUGUCGGCGUUUCGAGACCGGGGGGUCCCUGGGCCGACGAGUAAAUUGUCGCCACGUGCCCCAGCCCAGAUGGGUCGGCUCGAGACGGAGCGCGAAGGGGGGAAGGCAGCCGGAGGGAGACGGGCGUGAGAGGUGGAAAUCCCGCAGCCUUCAUGUUUGUCCCGCGCCCGGGUCGGGUGCGCUUGCAGUAGGGGGUUACAAGCGUCCACGCGAGAGGGAGCGAGCGGCCUAACGUGAGCGCCCGUCCCGUCCUUUCCCCGCGCGGCCAGCCUUCUGUAAGAGGGCCCUGGUCCUUCCUUUUAUGGGCACAAGGAGAGGAUCCAGGUGUACAGUGGGGGUGUAGCAGUGUGCUAACGUGUCUAGCGGAGGAGAGCUAGCGCCCUAAGUACAUGCCAUCGUGGCAGCCGGAGAGGUUUUGGCACCCGGUUCGUGUGGUGUCGUGGCCAUCGGAGGAGCGCUGGAGCCUGGCGGAAGGACAGCUGUCGGGGCUGUCGAGUCCUUGCUGACGUCCUCUUGCUUCCGUAAGGGGGCUGAGAGCCGCCGUCGUCAUAGAGCGUGCGGGGCGCCAUCAUUACUUGUCUGGCGGAGCGAGCCAGAUGGGACGCCGGUCUUGUUCCCCGUAGCCUGAGUCAGCUUGGGGUAGGGUAAUGAUGGCGCCUCCUGUUGACGUGGUCGGUCCGUGCCCUGGGUUGGGCGAUGUGGAGGCUCCUCCGAGGUCGAGGUUGAGUCUGUCUUCCGAGGCCGAGGUCGAGUCCGAGCCCCUGGGUCGGGCGAGGCGGAGACCGUCGGCUGAGGCCAGGGCUGAGUCCGAGCCCUGGGGUCGGGCGAAGCGGAGUUCGUCGUCUUCCGGGGCUGAGCUCGAGUCCGAGCCCUGGGGUCGGGCGAAGCGGAGUUCGUCGUCUUCCGGGGCUGAGCCCGAGUCCGAGCCCUGGGGUCGGGCGAAGCGGAGUUUGUCGUCUUCCGGGGCUGAGCCCGAGUCCGAGCCUUGGGGUCGGGCGAAGCGGAGUUCGUCGUCUUCCGGGGCUGAGCCCGAGUCCGAGCCCUGGGGUCGGGCGGAGUGGAGUUCGUCGUCUUCCGGGGCUGAGCCCGAGUCCGAGCCCUGGGGUCGGGCAAAGCAGAGUUUCCUAUGGCGUCUGAGGCCGGGCCUGGCUGCUUGUCAGCCUCACUCUGUCGAGUGGCACAGCAGUCGGAGCGACGCAGGCGACGCUGUCCUCUUGUCAGACCGGUCAGUGGAGUGGCGAAGUGACUGCGGUCACUUUGGCUCUGUCGACUGGAGGGCGCGUGUCAGGAUAAAGGUGUCAGGCCACCUUUGCAUUAAAUGCCCCUGCGAUUUGGUCGGUUGGCGUGGCGAUUUGGCCAAGGUUCCUUCUUGGUGAAGGCUGGGCCUCGGGCGAGACGUAGAUCCUCCGGGGUCGGCUGCCCUUGCCCGAGGCUGGGCUCGGGCGAGGCGUCAUCGCGUCCCUCGAAUGGAACGAUCCUUGGCUUAGUCGCACCCAUCAGGCCUUUGCAGCUUUGUGCUGAUGGGGUUACCAGCUGAGAUUUAGGAGCCUUGAGGGUACCCCUAAUUAUGGUCCCCGACAGUAGCCCCCGAGCCUUGAAGGGAGUGUUAAUACUCGCUUGGAGGCUUUUGUCGCACUUUUUUGCAAGGGGACCAGCCUUUCUCGGUUGCGUUUUGUUCCGGUGGGUGCGUGCGAGCGCACCCGCCGGGUGUAGCCCCCGAGGCCUCGGAGGAGUGGUUUGACUCCUCCGAGGUCUUAAUGCCUCACGCAAUGCUUCGGCUGGUCUGGUCGUUCCCUCAUGCGAGCUGGCCGUAGCCCGGGUGCACGGUCGGGUCCCAAGUUCUCGGGCUGGUAUGUUGACGCUGUCAACGGUUUGGCCGGAGCCGGGUUUGCGAGAGCAGCCCCCGAGCCUCUGCACAGGGCGAGAGGACGGUCGAGGACAGACUCGACUUUUUUUACAUACGCCCCUGCAUCGCCUUUCCGCAAGGAGGAGGGGGGAAAUCGCCAUGUUGCCCUCGGAGGGCGCCGAACAUGGUGUCUCCGGUGAGCUGCUGGCGGGUAAUCCGAGUGGACGCCCGUGCCCCAUUUGUUAGGGGUCGGCUAGAGGCCCGGAGGCGCGCUCAAAAGUACCUGCGGGUGAUCUACCGGACCCGGUCCCCUUUCGACGGGGUCCGAGGGCUUGAUGCCUCCCUCUGAUGGGAUUCCGUUACAAGAUCGUUCCCGCUGGUCUCGGAAAUGUCCUAGGGUACCUCGGGAGCAUAGCCCAAGCCUUGGUUAUGUAUCGAACGUACCCAGGGUCAUCCCUCGCUCUGUGUCUGAGGCGGCUGUGAACCCUUCGAGGGCCAACCUACGAACCCCUGAUCGGUAGUGGGCGCGGAGCCCGAGUGGCCUGAGGCGACCGUUGAACCCUUCCGAGGGGCCGGCCUUCGAACCUCUGACCAGUAGUGGGUGCGGGGCCCACGCGCUCUGAGGCGGCUGUUAAACCCCUCUGAGGGGCCAGCCUUUGAACCUCUGAUCAGUAGGGGGGCUCGGAGCCUGUUUCCAUCACGGAGAAGGAUCCUUUUCGGGGUAUCCCCCUUUCCCGGUCCCUGUUGUAAGAGAGAGAAAGAGGAAAAGGAAAAGGAUACGAAAUCGAAUGACGUGGCGUACCUCUUUUUGACGCGGUCAUUAUGGCAAAGGCGAAGCGUCGCUUGCUUCCCCCGCCAGAGGCGCCGCCUGUCCCGCCGCGGAGUUAAUGCGACGGGGCGAGUGGUUCACGGGGCGGCCGUUGCGCGUGCGCGAGCCGUUCGAGGAACGGCCGUUUCGCUUUGAGUUUUUGAAUCCCGCGGCGGGUCCGGGCGAAACGUUGAACGGGUCUCGCCUUGGUCUUUACAUACUCGGGGGAGGGUCUGGCGACGGUUCUUUGCUCCGCUUCUCACCUCCUUCUUAGGUUUUCGCAACCUGAGAGAUUUAGCCAGAGAAAAGGAAACCACCUACCCAGUCCCUUCCGCCGCCACCCCUUUUGCUCGGUGAUGGCCGACCGGGUGACCAUCGUCUCGCCGCGCGACCAAUGGCCUUUCUCCACAAUCACGGCGGAUGACCUGGAGGAUCUUGUUGCUGAAGGUUUACUUCGCCCUCUCUCUGAUGAGAGGCAGCCGGAGUGGAUUCCCCCACGAGUGGAGCCGCUCCGUCCCCGCCGCCGGGGUACGUCGUGAGCUUCGUCUCUUUCCACGAGCGGGGAUUCGGUGUGCCGGCAAGCCGCUUCAUGUGGGCGAUCCUGCACAACUAUGGGGUGGAGUUGCACAACCUUAGCCCCAACUCCAUCUCGCAAGCCGCCAUCUUCGUAGCGGUGUGCGAAGGAUACUUGGGGAUCGCCCCCACUGGGACUUGUGGACUCAUCUCUUUUCCGCGGAGCUUUUUGCUUCGCCAACGGGGGAGAGAAGGGUCCGCGCGGCAGUGCGGGCCGGCGGCUGCAUCCUCCAGCUGAGGCAGUCGCGGGCGUCGCAGUAUAUUCCUGUCGUCCUUGCAUCCUCGAAUAAAGGGUGGCAGCGCCGAUAGUUCUAUCUCCGGAAUGACGGCGAGAUGCUCCCGCUGUUUUCUCAGCGAGUGGUUACCGUCGCCGCCGAUGCUUGGCGCUACGGGACCCCGCACGACAGACAGAAGAACCUCGAGCCCCUUCUCAAGGCCCUGGAGGCAUUGCGGAAAGGAGGGCUCACCGCCGCGGGAGUGAUUGCCGCCAUUCACCGCCGGAGGGUGCUUCCCUUGGCGGAGCGGCGGUUGCCGCUUUGGGAGAUGACACCGGAGGCUAACUUGGUGGGCUCGCGGAUGUCCUCGGAUCCCCUUCCCAUCGACGUUCUCCACGGGCAGGUGGCCGUCGUGUUGGGAAAACCGGACGCCAGCGCCUUCUCUCAGCCCUUGAUGCGCCCCGACCACGGGUGUGUGACCCUGGUGAGUGUCCGCUCCUUCUUUCUCCCUGCGUCGGAUUGCCCUUGGUCCUUACGAUUGAGACUUUUCAUCUGUCUCCAGGAGGUAGGGUGGCACAAGCCUUCUCGGCCACGGGUCCCGGAGGACGCGGUGGACCGAGCAGCGCGGCGGGUUGCCGCGGAGGAGGAGAAGAAGAAGAAGGACGCGGAGAAGGCUCGGGCCCGCGAGCGGACGCGGGCCUGAGAUGCCUUGGAAAAGCUCAGUCGUCGGCAGGAGAGGGAUGGACUCCCGAGGGAGCCGUCGCCAGAAACGCCUGACGAUGACGACGAUGAUGAAGACGAUGACGAGGAUGAUGACAUGGCUGCCCGCCUCGGCCUCAGCCCGGGUUUGAGGCUAGGCCAGGAGUCGUCAAGCCAGCCCCCGAGCGGGCUGGCGCCGUCAGUUCUCGGAGUCGGGACGCCGAGGUCCCGGCCCGAAGAGCGGGGGCAGACCGAGGGGGUACUUGACCCCUCGGCCGAGGAAGUUGAGGUGACCCCGGGGAGUCAGGCCGAGGCGUCUGUUCCCCGAGAGCCGUCGCCCACGCCGGCAACGCAGGAGAGCGACCCUCAGGUCGUUGUGGCAGCGCUUGGGCAGUCCGUCUCCCGGGGGUCCAAGCUGCCCAAGGCGAGGAUGGUACCGAAGCUGGCGGCGAGGCGGACCUCGGCGGUACCUUUGGGGGUCGCUCUCCUGCGCUGUUGAUCAUGGCCCAGAGCGGGUUGAUCAUGGCCCGGAGCGGGUAAGUACUUUGGAACGUCUUCGUCCUGGCUCCUCAUUCGUAUGUCCCGACCGUGACUUUCCUUUCCUCCUCAGCAAGCGAAGCCAUGGCCUGACCGAUUUGGCUCCCCGGAAAGCCCUUAAGACGGCGUCGGCUUCCACAGUCGGUGCCGCGCCGAGCCUCGCCGUUCAGCUGACCUUCUCGCAAGGCGCUCCACAGUGGGGGGCUCAGGCGACAACAGUCGCCGUGGAGCGAGUUCCCGAGGUCGGCUCUUCUGCCGAGGCGGCCGCCGCGCUCGGGGAGGCGGCUGGCGCGGACGUGGCCUCGGGCCCACCGGACAUGCCACCGGUGCUGGCGCCAGCUGCUGCUGAAGCCGCUGCUGUCCCAGUCAGGGAGCGACCUGUCGCUGCCGACGCUGAGAUGGCCGAGGUGUCGGCGCUCGGUGCCUCGGAGGAGGGGGGCGUGGAAACGCGAUCCGUCCCGCCGAGCGGCAGCCUUGUCCCUGCGCGGUGGAGCUCCGAGAGGCGGCGCCAGUUGCUCCAGUUCCGGACCCGUGAGGCUUCGGAUCCCUUCUUCGUUCUUGACGAUGAGCGGGAGGAGCAGUCUUGGGACGAGCUCCACGAAUGUGCCGAAGCAACGGUGGGGUCGCUCCGGUCAUCCUUGGAGGUCUUUUGCAGGGACGUCCCCAAGAUCCUCCAGGUAAUGAUUUCAGGCAUACCUUUUUUGUGACCAAGGCAUCUUUUCUGACGCCUCGCUUCCUUCCCUUAGGAUCUGACAGAUCUGAGCGCCGCCAAGUCGUCGUUCAUCCACCACGAGGUCGAUAUCUGGGGCUUGCUGCGAUCCCUGAAGACCUCACUCGCCGAGGCUACUGCGCGCCUCUCCCAGCAGGGCGCCGAGGUGGCGGACCUUCGGUUGCUCUGCGCCGAUCUGAGAGCAGAGGCGGCAGCGGCACGCACAGAGGUGGCAGCGGCACGCGCAGAGGUGCAACGACGACAGUCGGAGUUCGACCAGGUCGCCGAUGAGCGAGACCGAUCUUGGGGCUGGGCUGCCGAGGCCGAAAGCCGGGCUGGAGCCCUUGCAGCAGACCUAGCCGUAGCCCAGGCCGCAGCCUCGGAGCAGCGUGCCCGAGCCGGAGGUAUGUCUUGGCUGUUUUCGGUUUUUGUUUCAGCUUGUUUCCUCCGCUUGUGUUUGAGGCCUUGCGCUCUGGCUGUUCGCAGAGCUCGAUUCUGCCCUUGAUGAGUCCACCAGGGCGUUUGCCGGGGCGGUCGAGCAGAGGGAGGCCGACCACGCGGCCAUGUUCGAGGCCAUCUCGGACUUCUGCCGGGUCUUUGGCUUCGGCGAUGUCCCCUCAAGAAGCUCCCCUCAAAGUCGCCUGCAGGCCUUGGGUGAUCACGUGCGCGGCAGACUCUGCGAGGCGCUACACCACGGCGUCAGGCGGGCCUUCGCCGUGCUUGCUUCCCACUACGUCGUGGAUCUGGAGCGGGUCAGCGAGGGGUAUUGCCUUCCUGACGAAGAUGAAGCUGCCCUGGCUGAAGUCCAGAGGCUCGACGCGGUCGCCGCGGGCCCGAGCGCAGUGCUGGCGACCACCUUCGAGGCAGAGAUCCUCCCGCCUGCGCCGUCGUCCGAAGCCGGGGUGGACUUUGCCGAAGGCGGGGACGAAGCCGAAGACGCGGCUCCUUCCCCAGGCAACGCCUAACUCUGUCGGAGCAGUUUCCUUUGAAUGCACGUGUGUCUUUUGCGGCCGCUGAGGCCCGAACACUUUAUUAUCGUAGUAUAAAGUCGUGCCCCUUUUCCUUUCAUUUUGCGUGUCUGGCCCCGCUCGUCAGUAGCAGGGUAGCUUGCCCAAGUAGGAGUCAUUUUUCGUGGUGGGUGACGAGUGAGGUAUCCGUAACCCAGAGGCGUAGGAGUCCCUCGGCUCAGUCAGCCUUGCCACUUACAUGCACCCGCGUUCGCUUCUUGGGGUCCUGCUUCCGACAUAGCCGGGGGAACGCGGAAGCCUUUUUGAUUGAAAAUUUUGACGCAGAGGGGGUUCCCCCCUUUUAGCCCCUGAGGGAGGGUCGGGCUUUGCCGAGGCAAGGCUGACCCUUCCUUGAUGACAAAAUUUUGCGUGGGAACGAGGCAUACGAACAACUUGAAAACAUCUUAAGGGUAGAAGCGACGUAGCUGUUGGAUGUUCCAAGUGUUGGUGUAGACCUCGCCUUGACUGUCGGCCAGCUUGUUCGUUCCGGGCUUCAGAACUUUGGCGAUGACGAACGGCCCUUCCCAGGGGUGCGUGUAGCCCCCGGGUGCUUUCUGCAAGGGGCCGACGAGGUCUAGAACCCAUACAACAAAAGGCCAGGUGAUGGGUAUCGUCUACAGGGCCUGAGCGGGCAGGUGGGUCUGCCUUGCGUCGAACUGACACCCAUCGCAGGUGCGGACAAUUCUAGUGGCGUCGGCCACCGCCGACGGCCAGUAGAAACCUUGUCGGAAGGCGUUUCCAACAAGGGCUCGAGGUGCUGCGUGAUGGCCGCAAGCCCCCGAGUGUAUCUCUUGUAGGAUCUCCUGGCCUUCGGCGAUGGAAAUGCAUCGCUGGAGGAUGCCUGAGGGGCUGCGGUGGUAGAGUUCCUUCCCGUCCCCCAGCAAGACAAACGACUUGGCGCGCCGCGCCAACCGUUGAGCUUCGGCUCGGUCGAGGGGUAGCUCUCGUCGGUGGAGAUAUUGCAGGUACGAGGUCUGCCAGUUUCGAUUAGGCGUGACCCCGCUCCGCUCCUCCUCGAUGCGCAGUGCCUCGCUCUCGGGGGCCGAGGGUGCCUCGGGCUGAGCCGAGGACGCCUCGAGUUGGGCCGAGGGUGCCUCGGGCCGAACCGAGGGUGCCUCGGACUGAGCCGAGGGUACCUCGGGCUGAGCCAAGGGUGACUCAGGCUCGGCCGAGGCCUUCUCGGGCUCGGGCGUGUCGCCGGUCUUGACGGAGGGUUGAUGCAGGUCUCGGGAGAAGAUGUCCGGGGGAACCAUUGUUCGCCCCGAGGCUAUUUUAGCCAGCUCGUCCGCAGUCUCGUUGUAGCGUCGGUCGAUGUGGUUGAGCUCGAGCCCGUAGAACUUGUCUUCCAGGCGCCGAACCUCAUCGCAGUAGGCUUCCAUCUUCGGGUCGCGGUAGUGAGAGUUCUUCAUGACUUGGUCGAUGACGAGUUGCGAGUCACCGCGAGCGUCGAGGCGUCGGACCCCUAGCUCAGUGGCGAUGCGCAACCCGUUGACCAGAGCCUCGUACUCAGCCACAUUGUUGGACGCCGGGAAGUGGAGGCGUAGCACGUAGCGUAGGUGCUUCCCGAGGGGCGAGAUGAAGAGCAGGCCUGCGCCUGCUCCUGUCUUCAUCAGCGACCCGUCGAAGAACAUGGUCCAGAGUUCCGGUUGGAUCGGAACUGUUGGGAGCUGGGUGUCGACCUAUUCAGCCACGAAGUCCGCCAGGACCUGGGACUUGAUGACACCACAGUUACCGGAUGAGACUCGAAGUAGUGUCGCAACUUCCGCCGCGUCAGGAUCACCGCGUAUAGCAGCUUCUGAAUUUGUGGGUAGCAGAUCUUGGUCUCGGACAGUACCUCGCUGAUGAAGUAGACUGGCCUCUGGAUAGGCAAUGCAUGCCCCUCUUCUCGUCUCUCAACCACAAUCGCGGGGCUAACCACCUGAGUGGUCGCGGCGACGUAGAUCAAGAGGGCUUCUCCGGCGGCGGGGGGCACCAAGAUGGGCGCGUUUGUAAGGAGCGCCUCCAGGUUCCCGAGGGCUUCCUCGGCCUCAGGGGUCCAAGUGAAGCACUCGGUCUUCCUUAAGAGGCGGUACAGAGGCAGGCCUCUUUCGCCGAGGUGCGAGAUGAAGCGGCUCAGAGCCGCAAGGCAUCCCGUGACUCUCUGUACGCCUUUCAAGUCCUUGAUGGGCCCCAUGCCGGUGAUGGCCGCGAUCUUCUCCGGGUUGGCCUCGAUGCCCCGCUCGGAGACGAUGAACCCCAAGAGCAUGCCUCGGGGAACCCCGAAGACACACUUCUCAGGAUUAAGCUUCACACCUUUCGCCUUGAGACAUCGGAAUGUAACUUCAAGGUCGGAAAGGAGGUCGAAGGCUUUCCUCAUCUUGACUACGAUGUCAUCGACGUAGGCCUCGACCGUCCGGCCAAUGUGUUCGCCGAACACAUGGUUCAUGCACCGUUGGUAUGUCGCACCCGCAUUCCUCAGGCCGAACGGCAUGGUGACAUAGCAGUACAUGCCGAAGGGUGUGAUGAAAGAAGUCGCGAGCUGGUCGGACUCUUUCAUCCUGAUUUGGUGAUACCCUGAGUAGGCAUCGAGGAAAGACAUGGUUUCGCACCCAGAAGUGGAAUCCACGAUUUGGUCGAUGCGAGGCAGAGGGUAGGGAAAGACAUGCUUUGUUUAGACCAGUGUAGUCUACACACAUCCGCCAUUUCCCUCCUUUCUUUCUCACAAGCACAGGGUUGGCAAGCCAUUCGGGAUGGAAUACCUCUUUGAUGAACCCUGUCGCCAUUAGCUUGUGGAUCUCCUCGCCUAUGGCUCUGCGCUUUUCUUCGUCGAAUCGGCGUAGAGGCUGCUUCACGGGUCGGGCUCCAGCUCGGAUAUCCAGCGAGUGCUCGGCGACAUCCCUCGGUAUGUCGGGCAUGUCCGAGGGACUCCACGCGAAAACGUCGGCGUUUGCGCGGAGAAAGUCGACGAGCACUGCUUCCUAUUUGGGAUCGAGCUUGGAGCCGAUCCGGAUCUGCUUGGAGGCGUCGCUGCUGGGGUCGAGGGGGACGGAUUUAACCGUCUCCGCUGGCUCGAAGUUGCCGGCGUGGCGCUUCACGUCUAGCACCUCCUUAGAGAGGCUCUCCAGGUCGGCGAUGAGGGCCUCGAAUUCGGCGAGGGCCUCGGUGUACUCCACGCACUCGACGUCGCAUUCGAACGCAUGUCGGUACGUGGGGCCGACGGUGAUGACCCCGUUGGGGCCCGACAUCUUGAGCUUGAGGUAGGUGUAGUUGGGGACGGCCAUGAACUUUGCGUAGCAUGGCCUCCCCAGUACUGCGUGGUAGGUCCCUCGGAACCCGACCACCUCGAACGCGAGGGUCUCCCUUCGGAAGUUGGAGGGUGUCCCAAAGCAGACGAGAAGAUCGAGUUGUCCGAGGGGCUGGACGUGCUUCCCGGGGAUGAUCCCGUGGAAAGGCGCAGCGCCUGCCCGGACCGAGGACAGAUCAACACGCAGGAGCCCGAGGGUCUCGGCGUAGAUGAUGUUGAGGCUGCUGCCUCCGUCCAUGAGGACCUUGGUGAGCCUGACGUCGCCGAUGAUGGGGUCGACAACGAGCGGGUAUUUCCCCGGGCUCGGCACGCGGUCGGGGUGGUCGACUUGGUCAAAGGUGAUGGGCUUGUCGGACCAGUCUAGGUAGACUGGCGCCGCCACCUUUACCGAACAGACCUCCCGACGCUCUUGCUUGCGGUGCCGAGCCGAGGCGUUCGCCGCUUGCCCACCGUAGAUCAUGAAGCAGUCGCAGACCUCGGGGAACUCUCCUGCCUGGUGAUCUUCCUUCUUAUCGUCGUCACGAGCCCUGCCACCCUCCGCGGGUGGCCCGGCCUUGUGAAAGUGGCGCCGAAGCAUGGCGCACUCCUCAAGGGUGUGCUUGACGGGCCCCUGAUGAUAGGGGCACGGCUCCUUGAGCUUCUUGUCGAAGAGGUUGGCACCUCCGGGGGUUUCCGAGGGUUCUUGUACUCGGCGGCGGCGACAAGGUCCGCGUUGGCGGCGUCGCGUUUCACUUGCGACUUCUUCUUGCCUUUCUUCUUGGCGCCAUGCUGAGUUGACGCCUCGGGGGCAUCUUCCAGUGGGCGGCCCUGGGGCUGCUUGUCCUUCUGGAAGGUAGCCUCAACCGCCUUCUAGCCAGAGGCGAACUUGGUGGCGAUGUCCAUCAGCUCGCUCGCCCUGGUGGGGGUCUUGCAACCCAGCUUGCUCACCAGGUCGCGGCAGGUGGUGCCGGCGAGGAACACGCCGAUGACAUCUGAAUCGGUGACGAUGGGCAGCUCGGUGCGCUGCUUCGAGAAUCGCCGGAUGUAGUCGCGGAGAGACUCUCCCGGCUGCUGUCGGCAGCUUCGGAGGUCCCAGGAGUUUCCAAGGCGCACGUACGUGCCCUAGAAAUUGCCGGCGAAGGCUUGGACCAGGUCGUCCCAGUUGGAGAUCUACCCCGGAGGCAGGUGCUCCAACCAGGCGCGAGCGGUGUCGGAGAGGAACAGGGGGAGGUUGCGGAUGAUGAGGUUAUCAUCGUCCGUUCCACCCAGUAGGCAGGCCAGCCGGUAGUCCGCGAGCCACAGUUCCGGUCUCGUCUCCCCCGAGUACUUUGUGAUAGUAGUCGGGGUUCGGAACCGGGUCGGGAACGGCGCCCGUCGUAUGGCGCGGCUGAAAGCCUGCGGACCGGGUGGUUCGGGCGAGGGACUCCGAUCCUCCCCGCUGUCGUAGUGUCCCCCACGUCUGGGGUGGUAGCCUCGGCGCACCCUCUCAUCGAGGUGGGCCCGACGGUUGCGGUGAUGGUGCUCGUUGCCGAGGUGGCCCGGGGCCGCAGCCGCUGUGUUGCGCGUGCGCCCGGUGUGGACCGAGGCUUCCCGCAUAAAUCGGGAAGUCGCGGCGCGAUGUUCUAAGGGGUACCCCUGCCUUCGAUAGGCGGAGCUUUCGGCCCGUCGGACCGCGGCGUCCUCCAGGAGAUGCUUGAGCUCUCCCUGAAUUCGCCGCCCCUCGGUGGUUGAUGGCUCUGGCAUCACGCGGAGGAGCAUUGCCGCUGCAGCCAGGUUCUGGCCGACCCCACUGGAAGUGGGUGGCGGCCUUACCCUGACAUCGUCGGCGAUGCGGUGCUGGAUACCCUAGGGUAGAUGACGCACUUCUCCGGCCGGAGGUUGGCCCGCCCAUUCCUGCCCGACGUCCCGGCGGAUCGGCUCAAGUGUUCCUGCUCCCUCGUCGAGCCUGGCCUGCACCCCGCGGAUUUGCUCGAGCUAGCUCAAGUAGGAUGUCAACGCGAGGCACAUUCCUAGGGAGAUCACCGUUCUCCGGCAUACCAAGAUGGUUGCCUUCGGAGGGACCCCCUAGAUCGACGUGAAAACAUUCACGACUUGGGCCGCAGUCCUCGUUGCCGAGGCUGCGGCUACCGUCGGAACAGUCGGAAAGGCAGUAGUCACACACGGUCAUAAAGUCCCGCAUGGCACUGGGGUUACCAAGUCCGGAGAAAUCCCAACAGAAGUCGGGCUCGUCAUCUUCCUCAGACCCCGAGGGCCCGUAGGUCGAGACAUCCGUCAGCCGGUCCCAGGGUGACCGCAUACGAUACCCCAGAGGGUUUGGACUCGCCUCUACGAGAGCGUCCACCAAAGCAAAGUCGCUUGGCGGGUCGAGGCUGAAUCCAAAAGGCGUGAGAUGAGAAUCGGUUGGUACCUCUCGGUCAACGGGCGGUGACGAAGUCACGUCAGGGACUGACUGCACCGUCGUCUCAGGUACGAGGGUGACGCCCAGCAAGUCCUUCGCGAGCGUACUGGCGUCGUCCGUUUGCUUGGGAUUGGCGUGUUGCGGGGAGACGGCGCUCGUCUUCGUCUCAGACGCGAGGUCAAUGCCCGACGUGCCCCCCGUUGGGGCGCCAGCGCCGUCGACUCGCUCGACAUCCGACGAGGUGCCGCCUCCUGCUUGGCCUUGGUUGCCCCGCCUCCUCCUCCGUCGGCGGGGGAGGGGACGGGGUGAGCUCGAAUGUCGUUCUUCCACCACGCGGGGAAAACGUCGUCGAUUCCGCCGCCGGCGGGCGGGCUGUCGGCCGCCAUUGUUGUUGUCGCACGGCGGGGGAAGGAGUAUCAUGUCGUAGCUACCGUCGAGGGACAUGAACUCAAGACUCCCGAAACGGAGCACCGUCCCGGGCUGGAAAGGUUGCUGGAGACUGCUCAUCUGGAGUUUGACGGGAAGCUGUUCGUCAACACGCAGCAGGCCCCUACCUGGCGCACCAACUGUCGGCGUUUCGAGACCGGGGGGCCCCUGGGCCGAUGAGUAAAUUGUCGCCGCGUGCCCCAGCCCAGAUGGGUCGGCGCGAGACAGAGCGCGAAGGGGGGAAGGCAGCCGGAGGGAGACGGGCGUGAGAGGUGGAAAUCCCGCGGCCUUCGUGUUUGUCCCGCGCCCGGGUCGGGUGCGCUUGCAGUAGGGGGUUACAAGCGUCCACGCGGGAGGGAGCGAGCGGCCUCACGCGAGCGCCUGUCUCGUCCUUUCCCCGCGCGGCCAGCCUUCUGUAAGAGGGCCCUGGUCCUUCCUUUUAUAGGCACAAGGAGAGGAUCCAGGUGUACAGUGGGGGGUGUAGCAGUGUGCUAACGUGUCUAGCGGAGGAGAGCUAGCGCUGUAAGUACAUGUCAUCGUGGCAGCCGAAGAGGUUUUGGCACCCGGUUCGUGUGGUGUUGUGGCCGUCGGAGGAGCGCUGGAGCCUGGCGGAAGGACAGCUGUCGGGGCUGUCGAGUCCUUGCUGACGUCCUCUUGCUUCCGUAAGGGGGCUAAGAGCCACCAUCGUCAUAGAGCGUGCGGGGCGCCAUCAUUACUUGUCUGGCGGAGUGAGCCAGAUGGGACGCCGGUCUUGUUCCCCGUAGCCUGAGUCAGCUUGGGGUAGGGUAAUGAUGGCGCCUCCUGUUGACGUUGUCGGUCCGUGCCCUGGGUUGGGCGAUGUGGAGGCUCCUCUGAGGUCGAGGUCGAGUCUGUCUUCCGAGGCCGAGGUCGAGUCCGAGCCCCUGGGUCGGGCGAGGCGGAGACCGUCGGCUGAGGCUAGGGCUGAGUCCGAGCCCUAGGGUCGGGCGAAGCGGAGUUCGUCGUCUUCUGGGGCUGAGCCCGAGUCCGAGCCCUGGGGUCGGGCGAAGUGGAGUUCGUCGUCUUCCGGGGCUGAGCCCGAGUCCGAGCCCUGGGGUCGGGCGAAGCGGAGUUCGUCGUCUUCCGGGGCUAAGCCCGAGUCCGAGCCCUGGGGUCGGGCGAAGCGGAGUUCGUCGUCUUCCGGGGCUGAGCCCGAGUCCGAGCCCUGGGGUCGGGCGAAGCGGAGUUCGUCGUCUUCCGGGGCUGAGCCCGAGUCCGAGCCCUGGGGUCGGGCGGAGCGGAGUUCGUCGUCUUCCGGGGCUGAGCCCGAGUCCGAGCCCUGGGGUCGGGCAAAGCGGAGUUUCCUAUGGCGCCUGAGGCCGGACCUGGCUGCUUGUCAGCCUCACUCUGUCGAGUGGCACAGCAGUCGGAGCGGCGCAGGCGGCGCUGUCCUCUUGUCAGACCGGUCAGUGGAGUGGCGAAGUGACUGCGGUCACUUCGGCUCUGUCAACUAGAGGGCGCGUGUCAGGAUAAAGGUGUCAGGCCACCUUUGCAUUAAAUGCCCCUGCGAUUUGGUCGGUUGGCGUGGCGAUUUGGCCAAGGUUGCUUCUUGGUGAAGGCUGGGCCUCGGGCGAGCCGAAAGUAUGUCCGUUGCUGGAGGGGGCCUCGGGCGAGACAUAGAUCCUCCGGGGUUGGCUGCCCUUGCCCGAGGCUGGGCUCGGGCGAGGCGUGAUCGCGUCCCUCGAAUGGACCGAUCCUUGGCUUAGUCGCACCCAUCAGGCCUUUGCAGCUUUGUGCUGAUGGGGGUUACCAGCUGAGAUUUAGGAGCCUUGAGGGUACCCCUAAUUAUGGUCCCCGACAAGUAUAAUUGAUUGAAUUGAUUGUGGGGGUCCAAUCGGCCGUAACCCUUCAUCUAUAUAAAGGGAGGAGGUCUGGACCCGUUACAAUUCAGUUCCCGAGUUAAUUCCGCAGGUUUUGCUAACAAACCCCGCUUGAAAUCCGGAACCCUAACUGAUUCUGCGCAUGCGCGGACCGUCUGUGUUGCCACCGCGUACCUUCUGGACAGUCCAGCCUAGGUGGCACUUUUAGUGCUCAACACUCACAAAGCUGGCUGAACCCGCGUACUCGUCUGUAAUCUUAAGGUGUGUUUGGUUUGCAAUGACGGAAUGGAAUGGGAUGAGAUGAUGCCUUAGAUAAGAUUGUUGUUUGGUUUAGUAUUAGGAGUUGGGACAAAAAUUUUCUAGUGUUAUUCGUAGCUAACCUCAAAAUUGAAGGGACAAGACAGAACGUAGGGACCGAGACGUGGCUAGCCUAGGCUGGCAUGAGCUGUACCAUGACCAAAGGCACGCGCAAGAUAGCCUAACUUGCCUAGGAGCAGUUCCAAUAGUCUCGUUAAAGCACAAGUGCUCGGUAAAAAAAUGAAAAUGUCCCUGAAAAUCGGAUCCAAAAGUGUCGCCAUCAACCUCGCUACUCCAUCUCCCUCGCCAUCACCCGCCCGCGCACCCUCUCGUGGGAUCUCCCGCGCAUUCUUCCGCCCUCCCACGGAAUCCAAGCUCGCUGUCGUGCUCUCCUACCCUCCCCGCACUCUUGCGCCCUCCCGCGCGCCUUCCCACUCUCGUGCCCUCUCGCUCCUGCGCCCGCGAUAUUCUGAAACCAACACCGUGUUCAGCCCCGCCACCGCACGCUUUCGUUGCCGACAUUCGUCCAUGUUCAGACUGUAGCAAGCCCGUCCAACAGUGAGUGGAGACAUUGGGACGUCGACUGUACCCUGCAGAGAUGUGUCGUGUUCAUCAAUUCUCCCAGGUAGGGUGGAACAAGAGGCAGUCAGGCAGAUAACUCGAUUGGAAGUUACCAGAUUUCUCUGUUACCAGAAUUUGCUGCGCAUACGUGCGUAAUCUGACUGCCAACAGGCCGAGUCUGCUAGUUUCUUUUGUGCAGUGCAGUUACAUGCAUGUUCAUAUAUAUGUUUGAACUACUUUGCAGUGCAUAUACGUUUGACGUAUUAUAUUGCUGUCCAAAGAUGGCAAAUUGUCCACUGGUACUCCUAGUCGAUCAACUUUUGCCAAGGUUAUCUGGAAGUGGAUGCAUCUGGUUACACAAUGAUACUUGUGAUGGUUACACAGGGAUCUGCGUAUCUUUCCAGAUAAGCGCGUCGUCUGCUCCAUUGCUAGGAUCAAUGGGAAAAAACACUAGUAGAAAAGAGCUCAAAGCCUGCGGCACCCAUAAAUUAUCACUAGCGGUUUCAGUUACCGCGCGCCAGUAAAAAAACCAGGUGAGCCCGGCUUGGGAACCGCCAGUGGAAACAUAUUUCCACUGGUGGUUCUCUUAACACAACCGCCAGUGGAAAUAUCCUAUUUCCAUUGGCGGUUGUGUUAAGAUAACCGCUAGUGGAAAUAGGUUUCCACUGGCGGUUUUUCAAGCCAACCGCCAGUGAACUAUGUGUUAUAAAUACCACUCUUCCUCCCCGACAGGAGCUGUAGCUGAGAACACCUAGAGGGGGGGGUGGAUAGGUGAUCCUGUAAAAACUUGAACUUAAUGCCACAAAAACUUGAUUAAGCGUUAGCACAGUAAUGCCAUGUGGCUAGAGAAGAGUCUUAGCGAAACACAAUAACCACAAGAGAAUCAACACAGAUAGACGCAGUGGUUUAUCCCGUGGUUCGGCCAAGUACAACACUUGCCUACUUCCACGUUAUUGUUACAUAUCCCGUUCGCGAGGAAUCUCCACAACUUGGAGCCUCUCGCCCUUACACUUUGAUGUUCACAAAGAAGCGCGGAGUAAGGGAGGGAUGAGCAACUCACACACGACACAAAGAUCACAGCAAAUACGCACACACAAGACCCAGACUUGAGCUCAAGAGACUAUCACAAGUUUCACACUAGAACGGAGCUCAAAUCACUAAGAAUGUCAAACAAGUGCGCAAGAAUGGAGUGUGAGUGAUCAACAAUGCUCAAAGGAUGCUUGAGUUGCUCCUCCAUGCGCCUAGGGGUCCCUUUUAUAGCUCCAAGGCAGCUAGGAGCCGUUGAGUGCAUUCCAGGAAGGCAAUUCUUGCCUUCUAUCGCCUGGCGCACCGGACAGUCCGGUGCACCACCGGACACUGUCCGGUGCGGAUCUCUUUCCUUAUUUGGCGAAGCCGACCGUUGGCGCAUUGGAGCCGUUGGCACACCGGACACUGUCCGGUGCACACCGGACUGUCCGGUGCCCCCUUCUAGCUGUUGGCUCGGCCACGCGUCGCGCCCGGAUUAAGCGGCCGACCGUUGCCCGACGACCGUUGGCUCACCGGACAAUGUCCGGUGCACACCGGACAGUCCGGUGAAUUAUAGCCGUACGCCGUUUAUUUCUUCCCGAGAGUAGCAAGUUCACUUGAGCCAGCCUGGCGCACCGGACACUGUCCGGUGCACCACCGGACACUGUCUGGUGCACCCAGACAGAGCUGGCUUUGGCUGAACAAGGCCAUCUCUUCUCCAAUUCGAUUUCUCCUGUUUCCAGCACUUAGACACAAUACAUUAGUCUCUAAAACAAUGUACUAAGUCUGAGAAACAUACCUUUAUACUUGAUUUGUACUUUGUCCACCAUUUGACACUUAGGCACUUGUGUUGUACACUAAAUCACCAAAACACUUAGAAAUGGCCCAAGGGCACAUUUCCCUUUCAAUCUCCCCCUUUUUGGUGAUUUAUGCCAACACAACAUAAAACAAGUAGAGCAAGUACAAAAUCAAUUCAAAUAAGAACUCAAAUUUGUUUUGAAUCAAAUUUGGCAUAUAUGGAUCAUUCUUUGCCACCACUUGGUUUGUUUUUGCAAAUCAAACUCAAUUUCCUAUCUCUAAGUCAAACACACAUGUUGAAACCUAAAGAGAGAUAUUUCACGAGAAAUUGAUCAAGGAUUCAAAAACUCCCCCUUUUUCCCAUAAUUAAACCUUCUCCCCACAGGAGACCAACUCUUGACAAUAAGAGCAAAUAAGAGUACUACUAUUUUCAAAAUUCACAAGUUUCAAAAUUCACAAGUGGUAGCUGAUCCAUUUAUUGCUUUGGCCUUAUUUUCUCCCCCUUUGGCAUCAAGCACCAAAACGGGAUCAAUUUUGGCCCUCUAACCCCAUUGCCUCACCAAAAUCUUCAACUAAGAGUAAAAAGGCAAUAAGAGUAUUAAGAUGAACUUGGAAGAAGUUACUCUUUCAUCGGAGUGCAGUGGAAGUCUUGCAUGGUCCAAGUCCACCUUUUCCCUUUCAAACCACCUUUGAGACUAAAUUAAGCAAACUCAAGCACACAGUUAGUCUCAAAAGGUCAAGUUGUAGCACAUCUCCCCCUAAAUUUGUGCAUCACUUGCAAAUGGACUUGCAAGGUCCGGGGAGUGCUUGUACAACUUGAGCACCAUAAGUAAACAACAAAAUGCAUAAGGAACAUGAUCAAAGGCAUAAACACAUGUAUGUUAUAAAUCAAUCCAAGUUCCGCGAAUCUAGGACAUUUAGCUCACUACGCAACUUGCAAAAGGUCUGCUCAUCUAAAGGCUUGGUAAAGAUAUCGGCUAGCUGGUUCUCAGAGCUAACAUGAAACACUUCGAUAUCUCCCUUUUGCUAGUGGUCUCUCAAAAAGUGAUGCCGGAUGUCUAUGUGCUUUGUGCGGCUGUGUUCAACAAGAUUAUCCGCCAUGCGGAUAGCACUCUCAUUAUCACAUAGGAGUGGGACUUUGCUCAAAUUGUAGCCAAUGUCCCUGAGGGUUUGCCUCAUCCAAAGUAGUUGCGCGCAACACUGUCCUGCGGCAACGUACUCGGCCUCAGCGGUGGAUAGGGCAACGGAGGUUUGUUUCUUAGAACUCCAAGACACCAGGGACCUUCCUAAGAAUCGGCACGUCCCCGAUGUACUCUUCCUAUCGACCUUACAUCCAGCAUAGUCGGAGUCUGAAUAUCCAAUCAAGUCAAAGGUAGACCCCUUUGGAUACCAGAUCCCGAAGCAAGGCGUAGCGACUAAAUAUCUAAGAAUUCGCUUCACCGCCACUAAGUGACAUUCCCUUGGAUCAGAUUGAAAUCUAGCACACAUGCAUACGCUAAGCAUAAUAUCCGGUCUACUAGCACAUAAAUAAAGUAGAGAUCCUAUCAUAGACCGGUAUGCCUUUUGAUCAACGGACUUACCUCCUUUGUUGAGGUCAGUGUGUCCGUCAGUUCCGAUUGGAGUCUUUGCGGGCUUGGCGUCCUUCAUCCCAAACCGCUUGAUCAAGUCUUGUGUGUACUUCGUUUGGGAGAUGAAGGUCCCGACCUUGAGUUGCCUCACUUGGAACCCAAGGAAAUAGCUUAACUCGCCCAUCAUCGACAUCUCAAACUUUUGAGUCAUCACCCUGCUAAACUCUUCACAAGACUUUUGAUUAGUAGAACCAAAUAUUAUGUCAUCGACAUAAAUUUGGCACACAAAAAGAUCACCAUCACAAGUCUUAGUAAAAAGAGUUGGAUCGGCUUUCCCAACCUUGAAAGCGUUAGCAAUUAAAAAGUCUCUAAGGCAUUCAUACCAUGCUCUUGGGGCUUGAUUAAGUCCAUAGAGCGCCUUAGAGAGCUUACACACGUGGUCGGGGUACCGUUCAUCCUCAAAGCCAGGGGGUUGCUCCACGUACACCUCCUCCUUGAUUGGCCCGUUGAGGAAAGCGCUCUUCACAUCCAUUUGGAACAGCCUGAAAGAAUGGUGAGCGGCAUAUGCUAGCAAAAUACGAAUGGACUCUAGCCUAGCCACAGGAGCAAAAGUCUCCUCAAAGUCCAAACCUGUGACUUGGGCAUAACCUUUUGCCACAAGUCGUGCCUUGUUCCUUGUCACCACUCCGUGCUCGUCUUGUUUGUUGCGGAACACCCACUUGGUUCCCACAACAUUUUGCUUGGUACGAGGCACCAGUGUCCAAACUUCAUUUCUCUUGAAGUUGUUGAGCUCCUCUUGCAUGGCCAACACCCAGUCCGGAUCUAGCAAGGCCUCCUCUACCCUGAAAGGCUCAAUAGAAGAGACAAAGGAGUAAUGCUCACAAAAAUUAACUAAUCGAGACCGAGUAGUUACUCCCUUGCUAAUGUCACCCAAAAUCUGGUCGACGGGAUGAUCCCUUUGAAUCAUUGCUCGGACUUGAGUUGGAGGUGCCGGUUGUGCUUCUUCCUCCAUUACAUGUUCAUCUUGUGCUCCCCCUUGAUAACACGUCUCCUCUUGAUGAACCUGUUCAUCUUCUUGAGUUGGGGGAUGCACCAUUGUUGAGGAAGAAGGUUGAUCUUGUUCAUUUUGUUCCUGUGGCCGCACAUCUCCAAUCGCCAUGGUUCGUAUUGCGGCCGUCGGAACAUCUUCUUCAUCUACAUCAUCACGAUCAACAACUUGCUCUCUUGGAGAGCCAUUAGUCUCAUCAAAUACAACGUCGCUAGAGACUUCAACCAAACCCAAUGAUUUGUUGAAGACCCUAUACGCCUUUGUAUUUGAAUCAUAACCUAACAAAAACCCUUCUACAGCUUUGGGAGCAAAUUUAGAAUUCCUACCCUUCUUCACUAGAAUGUAGCAUUUACUCCCAAAAACUCGGAAAUACGAAACAUUGGGUUUGUUACUGAUUAGUAGCUCGUAUGACGUCUUCUUGAGGAGGCGAUGAAGGUACACCCUGUUGAUGGCGUGGCAAGCCGUGUUCACGGCUUCCGACCAAAAGCGCUCGGGGGUCUUGAACUCUCCAAGCAUUGUCCUCUCCAUGUCUAUAAGCGUCCUGUUCUUCCUCUCUACCACACCAUUUUGCUGUGGUGUGUAGGGAGCGGAGAACUCGUGCUUGAUCCCUUCCUCCUCAAGGUACUCCUCCACUUGAAGGUUCUUGAACUCGGACCCAUUGUCACUCCUUAUCUUCUUCACCUUGAGCUCAAACUCGUUUUGAGCUCUCCUUAGGAAGCGCUUGAGGGUCCCUUGGGUUUCAGAUUUAUCCUGCAAAAAGAAUACCCAAGUGAAGCGGGAAAAGUCAUCAACAAUAACUAGACCAUACUUACUUCCUCCUAUGCUUAGAUAGGCGACGGGUCCGAAGAGGUCCAUAUGCAGCAGCUCCAGAGGUCUUGAUGUGGUCAUCACAUUCUUGCUGUGAUGCGCUCCUCCCACUUGUUUACCUGCUUGACAAGCUGCACAAGGUCUAUCUUUUUCGAAAGUAACAUUGGUUAGACCUAUCACGUGUUCUCCCUUUAGAAGCUUGUGAAGGUUCUUCAUCCCCACAUGUGCUAAGCGGCGAUGCCACAGCCAGCCCAUGCUAGUCUUAGCAAUUAAGCAUGCAUCUAGACCGGCAUCCUCUUUUGCAAAAUCAACUAAAUAAAGUUUGUCGUCUAAUAUACCCUUAAAAGCUAAUGAACCGUCACUUCUUCUAAAGACAGACACAUCUACAUUUGUGAAUAGACAAUUAUAUCCCAUAUUGCAUAAUUGACUAACAGAUAACAAAUUAUAUCCAAGAGACUCAACUAAGAACAUGUUAGAUAUAGAGUGCUCGGAUGAAAUAGCAAUUUUACCUAACCCUUUUACCUUGCCUUGAUUCCCAUCACCGAAUAUUAUUGAAUCUUGGGAAUCCUUGUAUUUGACGUAGGAGGUGAACAUCUUCUUCUCCCCCGUCAUAUGGUUUGUGCAUCCGCUGUCGAUAAUCCAGCUAGAGCCCCCGGUUGCAUAAACCUGCAAGGCAAAUUUAGGCUUGGGUCUUCGGUACCCAACUCAUGUUGGGUCCUACAAGGUUAGUACAAAUAUCCUUAGGGACCCAAAUGCAAGUUUUGUCUCCCUUGCAUUUUGCCCCUAAUUUUAUAGCAACUAUCUUCCUAUCCUUUCUACAAAUAGCAAAGGAAGCAUUUAAAGCAUGAUAAAUUGUAGAAGGUUCACUACUAGUUUUCCUAGAAACAUGAACAACAUUUCUUCUAGGCAUGUGAUUAACAACAUCUCUCCUCGCUAAAUUUCUAUCAUGCACAACAUGGGAACUAGAAGCAGUCAUAGCAUAUGAAACAACUUUAUUGUAAUGAACAUUUCUAGAGUAUUUCCUAUCAUUGUAUAAGAAAGCAUGGUUCUUUUGCACACUAUUUGCCAUAGGGGCCUUCCCUUUCUCCUUGAUGGAGAUGGGAGCCUUAUGGCUUGUUAAGUCCUUGGCUUCCCUCUUGAAGCCAAGUCCAUCCUUAAUUGAGGGGUGUCUACCAAUCGUGUAGGCAUCCCUUGCAAAUUUUAGCUUGUCAAAUUCAUUCUUGCUAGUCUUAAGUUGGGCAUUAAGACUAGCCAAUUCAUCAUUCAAUUUGGAAAUUGAAACUAGGUGUUCACUACAGGCAUCAAUGUCAAAAUCUUUACACCUAUUGCAAAUCAUAACAUGUUCUACACAAGAGUUAGAUUUACUAGCUAUUUCUAGCUUAGCAUUUAAAUCAUCAUUUAUGCUCCUUAAGCUAGAAAUUGUCUCAUGGCAAGAAGAUAGUUCACAAGAAAGCAUUUCAUUUCUUUUAACUUCUAAAGCAUGAGAUUUUUGUGCCUCUAUAAAUUUGUCAUGCUCUUCAUAUAAAAGGUCCUCUUGUUUCUCUACAAGUCUAUCCUUUUCAUUCAAGGCAUCAAUCAAUUCAUUAAUCUUAUCUAUUUUAGUUCUAUCCAAUCCCUUGAACAAACUAGAGUAAUCUAUUUCUUCAUCACUGGACUCAUCAUCACUAGAGGAAUCAUAAGUGGCAUUGUUUCGAGUACAUACCUUCUUCUCCUUCGCCAUGAGGCAUGUGUGGCGCUCGUUGGGGAAGAGGGAUGACUUGUUGAAGGCGGUGGCGGCGAGUCCUUCAUUGUCGGAGUCGGAUGACGAACAAUCCGAGUUCCACUCCUUGCCAAGGUGUGCCUCGCCCUUAGCCUUUUUGUAUGCCUUCUUCUUCUCCCUCUUGUUCCCCUGUUCCUGGUCACUAUCAUUAUCGGGGCAGUUAGCAAUAAAAUGACCAAUCUUACCACACUUGAAGCAUGAGCGCUUCUCCUUUGUCUUGGUUUUGCUUGGCUGCCCCUUGUGACCCUUUAGCGUCGUCUUGAAGCGCUUGAUGAUGAGAGCCAUCUCUUCAUCAUUUAGCCCUGCCACCUCAACUUGUGCCAUCUUGCUAGGUAGCGCCUCCUUGCUUCUUGUUGCCUUGAGAGCAAAGGGUUGAGGCUCAUUGAUUGGACCAUUCAAUGCGUUGUCCACGUAUCUCGCCUCCUUGAUCAUCAUUCGCCCGCUCAUGAACUUCCCAAGAACUUCUACGGGCGACAUCUUGGUGUACCUAGGAUUUUCACGAAUAUUGUUCACCAGAUGUGGAUCAAGUACAGUAAAGGACCUUAGCAUUAGGCGAACGACGUCAUGGUCCGUCCAUCGCGUGCUUCCGUAGCUCCUUAUUUUGUUGAUGAGGGUCUUGAGUCGGUUGUAUGUUUGGGUUGGCUCCUCGCCCCUUAUCAUUGCAAAUCUCCCGAGCUCGCCCUCUACCAACUCCAUCUUGGUGAGCAAGGUGACGUCGUUCCCCUCAUGAGAGAUCUUGAGGGUGUCCCAGAUCUGCUUGGCAUUGUCCAAGCCGCUCACCUUAUGAUACUCGUCCCUGCACAAAGAGGCUAACAACACAGUAGUAGCUUGUGCAUUUUUAUGAAUAUGUUCAUUAAUACAUACAGGACUAUCCGAGCUAUCAAAUUUCAUUCCAUUCUCAACAAUCUCCCAUAUACUUGGAUGGAGAGAGAACAGGUGACUACGCAUUUUGUUACUCCAAAAUCCGUAGUCCUCCCCAUCAAAGUGUGAAGGUUUGCCAAGAGGGAUGGAAAGCAAUUGUGCAUUUGAGCUAUGCGGAAUACGAGAGUAAUCGAAAGAAAAGUUCGAAUUAACCGUCUUUCUUUUGUCGUAGUCGUUGUCGUCGUUGUCCUUUUGGGAAGAAGUGGACUCAUCGCUGUCGUCGUAGUAGACGAUCUCCUUGAUGCGCCUUGUCUUCUUCUUCUUCCCAUCUUUGCGUUUGUGGCCCGAGCCCGAGUCGGUAGGCUCAUUGACGAAGGACUCCUUCUCCUUAUCAUUGAUAACAAUCCCCUUUCCCUUAGGAUCCAUCUCUUCGGGUGAUUAGUCCCUUUCUUGAAGAGAACGGCUCUAAUACCAAUUGAGAGCACCUAGAGGGGGGGUGAAUAGGUGAUCCUGUAAAAACUUGAACUUAAUGCCACAAAAACUUGAUUAAGCGUUAGCACAGUAAUGCCAAGUGGCUAGAGAAGAGUCUUAGCGAAACACAAUAACCACAAGAGAAUCAACACAGAUAGACGCAGUGGUUUAUCCCGUGGUUCGGCCAAGUACAACACUUGCCUACUUCCACGUUGGGGCGUCCCAAUGGACGACCCACUUGAAUACCACAGUGUUUUGCUUUUCUUUUCUAUAUCCCGUUCGCGAGGAAUCUCCACAACUUGGAGCCUCUCGCCCUUACACUUUGAUGUUCACAAAGAAGCACAAAGUAAGGGAGGGAUGAGAAACUCACACACGACACAAAGAUCACAGCAAAUACGCACACACAAGACCCAGACUUGAGCUCAAGAGACUAUCACAAGUUUCACACUAGAACGGAGCUCAAAUCACUAAGAAUGUCAAACAAGUGCGCAAGAAUGGAGUGUGAGUGAUCAACAAUGCUCAAAGGAUGCUUGAGUUGCUCCUCCAUGCGCCUAGGGGUCCCUUUUAUAGCCCCAAGGUAGCUAGGAGCCGUUGAGUGCAUUCCAGGAAGGCAAUUCUUGCCUUCUGUCGCCUGGCGCACCGGACAGUCCGGUGCACCACCGGACACUGUCCGGUGCGGAUCUCUUUCCUUAUUUGGCGAAGCCGACCGUUGGCGCCUUGGAGCCGUUGGCGCACCGGACACUGUCCGGUGCACACCGGACAGUCCGGUGCCCCCUUCUAGCCGUUGGCUCGGCCACGCGUCGCGCCCGGAUUAAGCGGCCGACCGUUGGCCCGGCGACCGUUGGCUCACCGGACACUGUCCGGUGCACACCGGAUAGUCCGGUGAAUUAUAGCCGUACGCUGUUUAUUUCUUCCCGAGAGCAGCAAGUUCGCCUGAGCCAGCCUGGCACACCGGACACUGUCCGGUGCACCACCGGACAGUCCGGUGCACCCAAACAGAGCUGGCUUUGGCUGAACAAGGCCAUCUCUUCUCCAAUUCGAUUUCUCCUGUUUCCAGCACUUAGACAUAAUACAUUAGUCUCUAAAACAAUGUACUAAGUCUGAGAAACAUACCUUUAUACUUUAUUUGUACUUUGUCCACCAUUUGACACUUAGGCACUUGUGUUGUACACUAAAUCACCAAAACACUUAGAAAUGGCCCAAGGGCACAUUUCCCUUUCAGUAGCUCGCAGCCAACAUCCAUUGGAGGCGAUUUUGGAGGUCCAGAUUUCACAAAAUACAAGGGGGGGGAGGUUUUGGUCUUCAUUUUUUGGAAGAAGGUGAAUAAGAAAGGUUGGUUUAUGUUUCUUUGUCAAUUUUUGUUCAUUCUUGCUCAAUUUUAGCCACAGUUUGGAUCUAGGGUUUUACAUGUGAGAGAGAAGAGUAUAGCUAGGUUAUUUUCUCUAUUUCCUCAAAUGAGGUUGCUUAAGAUGGUUAGAUUUUGUCUAUUCCCUCUCCUUUUUCAUGUUUAGUUCUCAAAUCAGUUUAUCCAUGACACAUAUUUAGUUGCUUAAUGAAUGGUGAAUGUGUUGUAUGGAGAGGGAGGAUGAUAGGUUUGGUAAUUAAGAUUGUUUUUAUUAAUUGUUAUGAAAGGUUGGUUUAAUUAUGUUUCAAUUGCCAAUUAUUGUUCAUUUUUGCUCAAUUUUAACUAAAACUAAGCUUUCACCAUGUGUUAGAGAUAGGUUUGGGUAUUAAGAUUUUUUGUUUAUUAGUUGCUAGGAAAGUUUGGCUUAUGUUUCUUUUGCCAAAUUUUGUUCAUUUUUCCUCCAUUUUAGCCACAUUUUGGAUCUAGGGUUUCACCAUGUGUUAGAGAUAAAGUAGUUAGGUUGCCUAAUCCAACCGCCUAUGACCUUUGUUGUAUAAAUACCCCUUCAUCCUUCCCGACAAAAACUGUGUAGCUCGCGCGCAGCCCAACUUUCAUUGGAAGGCCAGAUUUCACAAAAUACAAGGGGGAGGUUUUGAUCUUUAUUUUUUGGAAGAAGGUCGCUAAGAAAGGUUGUUCAUGUUUUUUUUGCCAAUUUUCUUUAUCCAUGAUAUAUUUAGUUGUUAGGAAAUAUUGGUAUAUGUUUCUCUUGCCAAUUUGUGUUCUUGUGUGUUUUAUGUUACUUUUUUUACAGGUGAUGAUGGAGAGGAUAUCCUGGAUGUAUAACUUAUCAAGGCUAGAUCCAUCAUACAUAUAUGAGGUCCAUAGGUUUAUUGUUGUCGCUACGAACCAUGCUUGGAGAACAAAGACAAAGCACAUAUAUUGUCCAUGAAUGGACUGCAAAAAUGUUGUUGUAUUUGAUGACACAGAACAAAUCAUAUCUCAUCUGGUAUGCCAAGGAUUUGUGAAGUAUUACAUAAUUUGGACAAAGCAUGGAGAGGGUAGCUCUUCACCUUAUACAGCUGGAAACCCUGUGAACAUCGACGACAGCUUUCAGUUCGUUCACGAGACACAACAACCUCUUCCACAGAGCGAACAUGUAGUGCCAAAUGUUACUGAUCAUGGUUACGCUGGAGGAAAUGAACGUGAAAGAACCCAUGUUCUGCCAAAUGUUAUGGACGAGGAAGAUGCAGAGUUGUUAGAGGCAAUGUUGCGUCGUCAUACAGAUCCAUCGAUGUUCUUCAUGAAACGUAUGGAGUCCCUGAAGAAGGCAGCAGAAGAGCCUUUGUACGACGAGUCUAAGGGUUGUACCAAAGAGUUCACGACGCUCCGGUCCAUGUUAAAGUUGUUGAUGUUAAAAGCUAGAUAUGGUCUGUCUGAUGCUGGCUUCGAUGCGUUCUUGAGUAUUGUCGCAGACAUGCUUCCAAAGGAGAACAAAGUGCUUGCUAACACGUACUAUGCAAAGAAACUAAUCAGUCCACUCACUAUGGGCGUGGAGAAGAUCCACGCGUGUAGAAAUCAGUGUAUCCUUUAUCGAGGUGAUGAUUAUAAAGACUUGGAGAGCUGCCCAAAGUGUGGUGCAAGUAGGUACAAGACGAAUAAAGACUAUCGAGAGGAAGAGUGUGUUGCAUCUGUGUCUAAAGGGAAGAAGCGAAAGAAAGCCAAAAAGAAGACUUCAAAAUCCACGAGCAAAGAAAAAGAAGAAGUAGACUAUUAUGCGCUCAAAAAGAUUUCAUAUCGCUAAGUGAGGCAAAUUCAGAACUAUCUAAGAAGAACAAAUACCACCACCACCUUGGCACAGGUGGUUACUGAAAGGGAAAUGUGCCCUUAGGCCAUUUCUAAGUAUUUUGGUGAUUGAGUGCCAACACAAGUGGUCAUGUGUUAAUCUAUGCCAAAUGAUGGACAAAGUGAAAAUCAACAUAAAGGUAUGUUUCUAAGACUUAGUACUUUUGUUUUAAGGACUAAUGUAUUGUGUCUAAGUACUGGAAACAGGAGAAAUCAAUUUGGAAAAGAGAUGGCUUUCUUCAGCCAAAGACAGUUCUGUCUGGGAGCACCGGACUGUCCGGUGGUGCACCGAACAGUGUCCGGUGCGCCAGUCUGGCUCUGGUGAAAAGGCUGCUCUCGGGAAUUCGUCGGCGACGUACGACUAUAAUUCACCGGACUGUCCGGUGAUGCACCGGACUGUCCGGUGAGCCAACGGUCAGCUGGACCAACGGUCGGCCGCGCAAUCCGCGCGUGACGCGUGGCCGGGCCAACGGUCUGAAGGGGGCACCGGACUAUCCGGUGUGCACCGGAUAGUGUCCGGUGCGCCAACGGCUCCAAAUCGCCAACGGUCGGCUGCGCCAAAACAGGAAAGAAAUCCGCACCGGACUGUCCGGUGCGCCAGGCGACAGAAGACAAGAAUUGCCUUCCUAGAAUGCUCUCAACGGCUCCUAGCUGCCUUGGGGCUAUAAAAGGGACCCCGAGGCGCAUGGAGGAGCACACCAAGCAUUCUCUAAGCAUUCCUAAGCACCAAGACUCCAAUUCCGCGCAUUUGAUUCUUUGUGAUAGCAACUAGAGCUCCAUUUGAGUAGAGAACUCUUCGGGUUGUGUUGUGAGCUCGAGUUGUGACUUGUGUGCGUGUUUGUGCUCUGAUUUUGUGUCUUGUGUACGUUGCUCAUCCCAUCCUUACUUCUGUGCUUCUUUGUGAACAUCAAAUUGUAAGGGCGAGAGGCUCCAAGUUGUGGAGAUUCCUCGCAAGCGGGAUAUAGUGAAACAAAGCAAAACACCAUGGUAUUCAAGUGGGUCUUUGGACCGCUUGAGAGGGGUUGAGUGCCACCCUCGUCCGUUGGGACGCCACAACAUGGAGUAGGCAAGUGUUGGACUUGGCCGAACCACGGGAUAAACCACUGUGCCUAUCUGUGUUGAUCUUCUUAUGGUUAUUGUGUUUUGCAAGAACUCCUUCUAGCCACUUGGCUUUAUUGUGCUAACUCCUAAUCAAGUUUUGUGGCAUUAAGUUUCAAGUUUUUACAGGAUCACCUAUUCACCCCCCCUCUAGGUGCUCUCAAUAGGUAUCAGAGUCGUUCUCUUCAAGAAAGGCACUAAUCGCCCGAAGAGAUGGAUCCUAAGGGAAAGGGGAUAGUGAUCAAUGACAAGGAGAAGGAGUCCUUCAUCAAUGAGCCGAAAGACGACAAGCCUACUGACUCAGGAUCAAGUCAUAAGAAGAAGGACGGGAAGAAGAAGAGGCGCAUUAAGAAGAUCGUCUACUACAACGACAGCGACGAGUCCUCUUCUUCCCAAAAGGACAACGACGACAACGACUACGAGAAAAAGAAGACGGUUAACUCGAACUUUUCUUUUGAUUACUCUCGUAUGCCGCAUAGUUCAAAUGCACACUUGCUUUCCAUUCCUCUUGGCAAACCUCCACACUUUGAUGGAGAGGACUACGGAUUUUGGAGUCACAAAAUGCGUAGUCACUUGUUCUCUCUCCAUCCAAGUAUAUGGGAGAUAGUAGAAAAUGGAAUGCAAUUUGAUAGCACGGAUAGUCCCUUAUUCAUCAAUGAACAAAUUCAUAAAAAUGCACAAGCUACUACUGUGUUGUUAGCCUCAUUGUGCAGGGAUGAGUACCAUAAGGUGAGCGGCUUGGACAACGCCAAGCAGAUUUGGGACACCCUCAAGAUCUCACAUGAGGGGAACGACGUCACCAUGCUCACCAAGAUGGAGUUGGUGGAAGGCGAACUAGGAAGGUUCGCAAUGAUCAGGGGGGAGGAGCCAACCCAAACAUACAACAGGCUCAAGACCCUCGUCAACAAAAUAAGGAGCUAUGGAAGCACGCGAUGGACGGACCACGACGUCGUCCGCCUAAUGCUAAGGUCUUUCACUGUCCUUGAUCCACAUCUUAUAAACAAUAUUCGUGAAAAUCCUAGGUACACCAAGAUGUCGCCCGAAGAAAUACUUGGAAAGUUUGUAAGCGGGCGAAUGAUGAUCAAGGAGGCAAGAUACGUCGAUGAGGCGUUGAAUGGUCCAAUUCAUGAGCCUCAAGCCAUUGCUCUCAAGGCAACAAAUAGCAAGGAGGCGCUACCUAGCAAGGUGGCACAAGUUGAGGCGGCGGGGCUCAAUGAGGAAGAAAUGGCCCUCAUCAUCAAGCGCUUCAAGACGGCGCUAAAGGGUCGCAAGGAGCAUCCCAAAAGGAGCAAGACGAAGGGAAAGCGCUCCUGCUUCAAGUGUGGUAAGAUUGGUCACUUUAUUGCUAACUGUCCCGAUAAUGAUAGUGACCAGGAACAAGGAAAGAAUGGGAAAAGAGAGAACAAGAAGGUUUACAAGAAGGCUAAAGGCGAGGCACACCUUGGAAAGGAGUGGGAUUCGGAUUGCUCUUCGUCCGACUCCGACGACGAAGGACUCGCCGCCACCGCCUUCAACAAAUCGUCUCUCUUCACCAAAGAGCAUCACACCUGCCUCAUGGCAAAGGAGAAGAAGGUAAGUACUCGAAAUGCUACUACAUAUGCUUCUUCAAGUGAUGACGAAUCUAGCGAUGAUGAAGUAGACUAUGCUAGUUUAUUCAAAGGAUUAGAUAGGACUAAAAUUGAUAAGAUCAAUGAAUUAAUUGAUGCUUUGAAUGAGAAAAAUAGACUUUUAGAAAAGCAAGAAGAUCUCUUAUAUGAAGAGCAUGAUAAAUUUGUAAGUGCACAAGAUUCUCUUGCUUUAGAAGUUAAAAGAAAUGAAAUGCUUUCAUGUGAAUUGUCUACAUGCCAUGAAUCUAUUUCUAGCUUAAAGAGUAUCAAUGAUGAUUUAAAUGCUAAACUAGAAGUAGCUAAUAAAUCAACCUCUUGUGUAGAACAUGUUGUGGUUUGCAAUAGGUGUAAAGAUUUUAAUGUUGAUGCUUGUAAUGGACACCUAGUCUCCAUUUCUAAAUUGAAGGAUGAAGUGGCUAGUCUUAAUGCUCAACUUAAGACUAGCAAAAAUGAAUUCGAUAAACUAAAAUUUGCAAGGGAUGCCUACACCAUUGGUAGACACCCCUCAAUUAAGGAUGGGCUUGGCUUUAAGAGAGAAGCCAAGAACUUAACAAGUCAUAAGGCUCCCAUUCCCGCCAAGGAGAAAGGGAAGGCUCCUAUGACUAAUAGUGCUCAAAAGAAUCAUGCUUUCAUGUACCAUGAUAGGAGAUAUUCUAGGAAUGUUCAUAGAAGUUAUGAUGCUUUUGAUUCUCAUGCCAUGAUUGCUUCAAGUUCUUCUAUUAUGCAUGAUAGAAAUUUUGCUAGGAAAAAUGUUGUUCAUCAUAUGCCUAGAAGAAAUGUUGUUCAUGUACCUAGGAAAGUAAGUAAUGAACAUUCUACAAUUUACCAUGCUUGCAAUGCUUCCUUUGCUAUUUGUAGAAAGGAUAAGAAAGUGAUUGCUAGGAAAUUAGGGGCAAAAUGCAAGGGAGACAAAACAUGCAUUUGGGUUCCUAAGACUAUUGUCACUAACCUUGUAGGACCCAACAAGAGUUAGGUACCUAAGACCCAAGCCUAAUUUGCCUUGCAGGUUUAUGCAUCCACGGGAUCAAGCUGGAUUAUCGACAGCUAAUGCACAAACCACAUGACGGGGGAGAAGAAGAUGUUCACCUCCUACGUCAAGAAUAAAGAUUCCCAAGAUUCAAUCAUAUUCGGUGACGGGAAUCAAGGCAAGGUUAAAGGCUUAGGCAAGAUUGCCAUCUCAAAUGAGCACUCUAUCUCCAAUGUUUUUUUAGUAGAGUCGCUAGGUUAUAAUCUUUUGUCGGUUAGUCAAUUAUGUAAUAUGGGAUAUAAUUGCUUAUUCACAAAUGUAGAUGUGUCUGUCUUUAGAAGGAGUGACGGUUCAUUAGCUUUUAAGGGUGUACUAGACGGCAAACUCUACUUAGUUGAUUUUGCAAAAGAGGAGGCCGGUCUAGAUGCAUGCUUAAUUGCUAAGACUAGCAUGGGCUGGCUGUGGCAUCGCCGUUUAGCACAUGUGGGGAUGAAGAACCUUCCCAAACUUCUAAGCGGAGAACAUGUGAUAAGUCUAAUAAAUGUAACCUUCGAAAAAGAUAGACCUUGUGCAGCUUGUCAAGCAGGUAAACAGGUGAGAAGCUCUCAUCAUACCAAAAAUGUGAUGACCACAUCAUGACCUUUGGAGUUACUUCAUAUGGACCUCUUCGGACCCGUCGCCUAUCUAAGCAUAGGAGGAAGUAAGUAUGGUCUUGUUAUCUUUUUGCAGGAUAAAACAGAAACCCAAGGGACCCUUAAGCGCUUCCUAAGGAGAGCUCAAAAUGAGUUUGAGCUCAAGGUGAAGAAGAUAAGGAGCGACAACGGGUCGGAGUUCAAGAACCUUCAAGUAGAAGAGGACCUUGAGGAGGAAGGAAUCAAGCACGAGUUCUCCGCUCCCUACACACCACAACAAAAUGGUGUGGUAGAGAGGAAGAACAGGACGCUCAUCGAUAUGGCAAGGACGAUGCUUGGAGAGUUCAAGACCCCCGAGCGGUUUUGGUCGGAAGCUGUGAACACGGCUUGCCGCGCCAUAAACCGGGUCUACCUUCAUCGCCUCCUCAAGAAGACGUCAUACGAGCUACUAACCGGUAACAAGCCCAAUGUUUCGUAUUUCCGAGUUUUUGGGAGUAAAUGCUACAUUCUAGUAUUGAAGGGUAGGAAUUCCAAAUUUGCUCCCAAAGCUGUAGAAGGGUUUUUGUUAGGCUAUGACUCAAAUACAAAGGCGUAUAGGGUCUUCAGCAAAUCAUCGGGUUUGGUUGAAGUCUCUAGCAACGUUGUAUUUGAUGAGACUAAUGGCUCUCCAAGAGAGCAAGUUGUUGAUCUUGAUGAUGUAGAUGAAGAAGACGUUCCAACGGUCGCAAUACGCACCAUGGCGAUUGGAGAUGUAAGGCCACAGGAACAAAAGGAGCAAGAUCAACCUUCUUCCUCAACAACGGUGCACUCCCCAACCCAAGAUGAUGAACAGGUACCUCAAGAGGAGGCGUGUGAUCAAGGGGGAGCACAAGAUGUCCAAGUUGAAGAGGAAGAAGCACCACAGGCCCCUCCAACUCAAGUUCGAGCGAUGAUUCAAAGGAACCAUCCCGUCGACCAGAUUUUGGGUGACAUUAGCAAGGGAGUAACCACUCGCUCUAGAUUAGUUAAUUUUUGUGAGAAUUACUCUUUUGUCUCUUCUAUUGAGCCUUUCAGGGUAGAAGAGGCCCUGCUAGAUCCGGACUGGGUGUUGGCCAUGCAGGAAGAGCUCAACAACUUCAAGCGUAAUGAAGUUUGGACACUGGUGCCGCGUCCCAAGCAAAAUGUUGUGGGAACCAAGUGGGUAUUCCGCAACAAACAGGACGAGCAUGGAGUGGUGACAAGGAACAAGGCUCGACUUGUGGCAAAAGGUUAUGCCCAAGUCGCAGGUUUGGACUUUGAGGAGACCUUUGCUCCUGUGGCUAGACUAGAGUCGAUUCGUAUUUUGUUAGCCUAUGCCGCUCACCAUUCUUUUAGGUUGUACCAAAUGGAUGUUAAGAGCGCUUUCCUCAACGGGCCAAUUAAGGAGGAGGUGUACGUGGAGCAACCCCCUGGCUUUGAGGAUGAACGGUACCCCAACCACGUGUGUAAGCUCUCUAAGGCGCUCUAUGGACUUAAGCAAGCCCCAAGAGCAUGGUAUGAAUGCCUUAGAGACUUCUUAAUUGCUAAUGCUUUCAUGGUUGGGAAAGCCGAUCCAACUUUAUUCACUAAGACUUGUGAUGGUGACUUAUUUGUGUGCCAAAUUUAUGUUGAUGACAUAAUAUUUGGUUCUACUAACCAAAAGUAUUGUGAAGAGUUUAGCAGGGUGAUGACGCAGAAAUUCGAGAUGUCGAUGAUGGGCGAGUUGAACUACUUCCUUGGGUUCCAAGUGAAGCAACUCAAGGACGGCACUUUCAUCUCCCAAACGAAGUAUACGCAAGACUUGCUCAAGCGGUUUGGGAUGAAGGACGCCAAGCCCGUAAAGACUCCAAUGGGAACUGACGGACACGUCGACCUCAACAAAGGAGGUAAGUCCGUUGAUCAAAAAGCAUACCGGUCCAUGAUAGGUUCCUUGCUUUAUUUAUGUGCUAGUAGACCGGAUAUUAUGCUUAGUGUAUGCAUGUGUGCUAGAUUUCAAUCCGAUCCAAGGGAGUGUCACUUAGUGGCUGUGAAGCGAAUUCUUAGAUAUUUAGUCUCUACGCCUUGCUUCGGGAUCUGGUAUCCAAAGGGGUCUACCUUUGAAUUAAUUUGAUAUUUAGACUCCGACUAUGCUGGAUGUCAGGUCAAUAGGAAGAGUACAUCGGGGACGUGCCAAUUCUUAGGAAGGUCCCUGGUGUCGUGGAGUUCUAAGAAACAAACUUUCGUUGCCCUAUCCACCGCUGAGGCCGAGUAUGUUGACGCAGGACAGUGUUGCGCGCAACUACUUUGGAUGAGGCAAACCCUCAGGGACUUUGGCUACAAUCUGAGCAAAGUCCCACUCCUAUGUGAUAAUGAGAGUGCUAUCCGCAUAGCGGAUAAUCCUGUUGAGCACAGCCGCACAAAGCACAUUGACAUCCGGCAUCACUUUUUGAGAGACCACCAGCAAAAGGGAGAUAUCGAAGUAUUUUAUGUUAGCACCAAGAAUCAGCUAGCCGAUAUCUUUACCAAGCCUCUAGACGAGAAGACCUUUUGCAGGCUGCGUAGUGAGCUAAAUGUCUUAGAUUCGCGGACCUUGGAUUGAUUUAUAGCAUACAUGUGUUUUAUGCAUUGAUCAUGUUCCUUAUGCAUAUUGUUGUUUAUUUAUGGUGUUCAAGUUGUACAAACACUCCCCGGACUUCAAAAGUCCAUGUGUGAGUAAUGCACAUAUUUAGGGGGAGUUGUGCUACAACUUGAUCCGUUGAGACUAACCAUGUGCUUGAGUGUUCUUAAUUUAGUCUCAAAGGUGGAUUGAAAGGGAAAGAUGGACUUGGACCAUGAAAGACUUCCACUGCACUCCGACAAGAGGGUAACUUACUCCAAGUUCAUCUCCGUGUCUCUUAUUGCCUUUUGCUCUUAAUUGACAAUUUUGGUGAGGCAAUAAGGUUUAAGGGCCAAAAAUGAUCUCGUUUUGGUGCUUGAUGCCAAAGGGGGAGAAAUUAAGGCCAAAGCAAUAAAUGGAUCAGCUACCACUUGAGAAUUUUGAAAAUAGUAGAAUAGAGCUUUUGGUUUGACAAAACUCUCUUAUUGUCUCUCUUGUCAAAAGUUGGUGUGGGGAGAAUGGUUGAUUAUGGGAAAAGGGGGAGUUUUUGAAAUCUUUGAUCAAUUUCUAUUGAAACAACUCUCUUUAUGUCUCAACAAGUGUCUUUGACUUAGAGAUAGGAAAUUGAGGUUGAUUUGCAAAAACAAAACCAAGUGGUUGCAAAGAAUGAUCCAAAUAUGCCAAAUUUGAUUCAAAACAAAUUUGUCGUCUUAUUUGCAUUGAUGUUGCACAUCUUUGUAUUGCUUUUUGUUGUGUUGGCAUAAAUCACCAAAAAGGGGGAGAUUGAAAGGGUAAUGUGCCCUUAGGCCAUUUCUAAGUAUUUUGGUGAUUGAGUGCCAACACAAGUGGUCAUGUGUUAAUCUAUGCCAAAUGAUGGACAAAGUGAAAAUCAACAUAAAGGUAUGUUUCUAAGACUUAGUACUUUGUUUUAAGGACUAAUGUAUUGUGUCUAAGUACUGGAAACAGGAGAAAUCAAUUUGGAAAAGAUAUGGCUUUGUUCAGCCAAAGACAGUUCAGUCUGGGAGCACCGGACUGUCCAGUGGUGCACCGGACAGUGUCCGGUGCGCCAGUCUGGCUCUCGUGAAAAGGCUGCUCUCGGGAAUUCGUCGGCGACGUACGACUAUAAUUCACCGGACUGUCCGGUGAUGCACCAGACUGUCCGGUUAGCCAACGGUCAGUUGGACCAACGGUCGGCCGCGCAAUCCGCGCGUGACGCAUUGCCGGGCCAACGGUUUGAAGGGGGCACCGGACUGUCCGGUGUGCAUCGGACAGUGUCCGGUGCGCCAACGGAUCCAAAUCGCCAACGGUCAGCUGCGCCAAAACAGGAAAGAAAUCCGCACCGGACUGUCCGGUGCGCCAGGCGACAGAAGGCAAGAAUUGCCUUCCUGGAAUGCUCUCAACGGCUCCUAGCUGCCUUGGGGCUAUAAAAGGGACCCCUAGGCGCCUGGAGGAGCACACCAAGCAUUCUCUAAGCAUUCCUAAGCACCAAGACUCCAAUUCCGCGCAUUUGAUUCUUUGUGAUAGCAACUAGAGCUCCAUUUGAGUAGAGAACUCUUCGGGUUGUGUUGUGAGCUCGAGUUGUGACUUGUGUGCGUGUUUGUGCUCUGAUUUUGUGUCUUGUGUGCAUUGCUCAUCCCAUCCUUACUUCCGUGCUUCUUUGUGAACAUCAAAUUGUAAGGGCGAGAGGCUUCAAGUUGUGGAGAUUCCUCGCAAGCGGGAUAUAGUGAAACAAAGCAAAACACUGUGGUAUUCAAGUGGGUCAUUGGACCGCUUGAGAGGGGUUGAGUGCAACCCUCGUCCGUUGGGAAGCCAUAACGUGGAGUAGGCAAGUGUUGGACUUGGUCCAACCCCGGGAUAAACCACUGUGCCUAUCUGUGUUGAUCUUCUUGUGGUUAUUGUGUUUUGCAAGAACUCCUCUCUAGCCACUUGGCUUUAUUGUGCUAACUCAUAAUCAAGUUUUGUGGCAUUAAGUUUCAAGUUUUUACAGGAUCACCUAUUCACCCCCCCUCUAGGUGCUCUCAGUUACAAGCGUCAGGUUCCUAAAUGGAGACAAGAAGAUGCCGAGAAGAAGGCUGCAGGGUUGCCGACGCUGUCCGAGCAACUUGGUGAAAGGACAGCUAAUUGGAUCCGUGCUAGAAAACCAAGGGAAACUGAGUCUGCUGUAUCUUCUGAUGAUCCCACUAUCGAAGAAGUGGUAAAAAAUAUAUAUGCAAUUGCAGCUAAGCAGAGCCAAGGAACAUUUAAGCCGCAAAGGGAGAGAGACAUUCUAACGGCUGGUCUCGGUAACCCUGAGCAUCCUGGUCGUGUACGAGGAAUCUCAUCUAAGGAAGGAUGGAAGGAAGGAUUCGGACCACAAUGGGAAGGUCUGUACAAGAAACGUGAUCGAUACAAGGAAGAGAUGGCGAAUUAUUUUAAGGAGGAGGCCAAGAAAGAGUUCAAAGGCAUAAUGUCUGAAAUGCUAUCGAAUCCUCCUCUAGAAUUGAUGCAGCAAUUGGCGAGUGCGAUGUCUGUUCAACAGAUGACCACUCCACAGAUGCAAAUAAUUCCAGCAGCUCAACCGCUGGCUUCCACCGAGGGUACGACCAUCCCAAGCUCUAUCGCGUCAACGGGAAAUAAGGUCCGCUAUCCAGUUGAUGACAUCACAAGGCCUGUGGCAUGCACACUAGUUAUAAGAUAUGGUAUUAACAAUCAGCGUACAAAGAAAGUAGCCACAGGCCUUGCGAUCCCAGGACGCAAGUUCCAUGGAAACGACAUUCCAGAAGAAUAUUGUAGGGUAGAAGUGACGACAGUCGUCCAAGGAUCCGAGGACGACAUGCUAGACAUACCUGGGCCCGAAGGUAUCGAGACACUUGGACAAGCUAUCAAGAAUUUUAUCCUUUGGCCUCGAAGGGAUGUCGAAUUGGUUGAUCCACCACGAUAGCCGUCGUCGCAGGCCCAACCGUCUCCGCCUUCUCAAAUUGUUGUUCCUAUUGUACAUCCAUCAUCACCUCCUCAAACUUCACAUGCUGCUCCUCAUCCUCUUUCUGACCCUCCUUCUCCUCAUCCUCAUGGUGGCCCACCGUCUCCGCCACAUACAUCGCCCUUCAGGGUUCCACCUUCUCCACAGCAAUCAAGGGAUCCACGACCAUCAAAGAAAUCUAAAGUUUCUAUACCAAAAUUAGUGUCCCCAUUCGACAAGAAAAAGAAGAGUAAAUCCACUGCUGGCACAGCUCGUCUUUUGAAAGGGAUUGGACGGAGCCUCACGUCAGACACUGUUGAUUUGGCCGAUCUCGAGGAGUCCGCAAAAAAGGCUGAGACAAUGGCCGCAAAGAUAAAGAAGCCAACUAAGGCAGAUUAUAAAAACGUGCCUAAAAAAUAUGUGCCGCGUAGACCACUACUCACUUUUGAGAAACUAAGGAAGGUUCCGGCUAAUAUUAAAAGGUUGCAUGAUUGGUACAUGCGGGCAUCUUCAGUUGGCAUCGACACCAUCAGUGUCAAUAUACCAGCCCAUGCUUUUAUUGGUUCAAAUCAAAAUGCCUUUGUUGCAUUCGAGGACAUGUGGUUAAUGAUGAACCUUCAGAGACUCGACGUGCAACUUGUAACCAUAUUUGCAUUGUAAGUGUCACUCAUACUCCACAUAUAUGUGUUAUUAUUAGUGAGUUGUAUAAAUUUUCAACAUCUGACAUGCACGUGUGCGUUGCAGAAUGCAACAUGAUCAGCAGGAGAUCCUUUAUGGUACCAAUCCCAAUGCUAGUGCCAGUAAAAGGGUUGGGUAUCUCAACCCAAUAAAGAUAUGCGAGGAUAGCCACACUUUUAGAAUCGGAAAAGACAACGAAGCAUUACAGGGACUAACGAACGAAGAAAUUGAGGUGCGUAUCCAGGAUCUGAAGAAGGAUUUUGAAGCAAGAUACGCCACCUACAUAGAACACACAAUCCUUCAAUUUCAAGACAGGGAAUCCAUAGUGGCCCCGUACAACUUUAAGUAAGUGUGAUUUUGCAUAAAUAAAAUUAAUAAUUUCAAUACACAUGUAUCACAAGUUUGAUUCGUACAGGGACCACUGGAUAUGCUUCAUCAUUUAUCCUAAGGUUGGAAAGGUGCUGGUGCUCGACUCCUUGCACACCGAGCCUUCGGCCUAUUCAAAAUUCCUCAGCAUCUUAGAGCUGUAAGCCUUUUCUAUGCAUGCAUACUUAUAUCGAUGAGAAUUGUAGAAUAACAUGGUGAUUCUAUUUGAGAUCACAGGGCAUUUAGGUUUUAUAAGCUACAAGGUGGAAAGUACGACACGUCCAAAAAAGGCGUGCCACUAGACAACCAUUAUAACUGGCCGGUAAGUAUGUGAAUUUAUGAAUACAUAUCAUACAUGUACGUACAUAGGACAAUGUUGCAACUAAAUAACCAAUCUCCCAUUAUGUAGUGCCACAAGCAACCACCCGGAUCGGUCCUAUGUGGGUUCUACGUGUGCGAGUUCAUGAGAAUGAACGGACGAUACAUCACGAACCCUGGCAAGGUAUUAUUAGUAAUAGUCACGUAUGUAUUUAUGUCAUUAAAGAUGCAAAUGUGUUAUUAUUGAGCAUAAAUAGAUGAUGUUUAUAAACUUCCUUUACAACAAUUUCAACAAGUAAGCCCGAAGAGCUUGACUGAAGGUGCAUUGUAUGGCAUAGUUGAGGACCUGUGCACAUUCAUAUUGAAAGAGGUCAUUCCCGUAGAAGGGAAAUAUCAUGAUGCUUCCGGAACAUUAGCUUUGCCAGAGUUUAGAAUACUAACAGAAAUUAGUAGACUAUCUCUUAGCCGAGAUAGUUAUUAGAGCUUAAGUGAAAACUUUGAUGUAUAUAAUGUGUGAUGCAUACAUGGUUGUAAACAAGACUUUGAUGUAUAUAAAUGUAUUAUAGAAUUUAAUUCAAUGUUGCUUUUAAUAUCAAUACUACAUGUUUAUCAAUAUCAAUAUAUAUAUAUAUGUUUGUGUGUGUAAAUAUAUAUAAAUUUCAGUACUGAUUGAAAAUUUAAAAAAAGGCGGGAAAACUUCCACUGGCGGUUUUAUUAAGAAAACCGCCAGUGGAAAUGCUAUUUCCACUUGUGGUUUGCUUAAAAAACCGUCAGUGGAAAUUAUAUUUUCACUGGCGGUUCUAGAAUAACCACCAGUGGAAAUGGCGAUAUCCACUGGCCCCUAGAACUGGCGGCACUGAAAAACGCCAGUGCAAACAGCUCUAGAACCGCCACUAUAGAGUCUCUGUGUACUAGUGAAAUAAUCUAAGCUCGGCUAGGGAGGAUCAAUGGACGAUGCUUCUGUAGUCGAUGUCGCAUUUGAUGUCGUGAUGACACCGUCCAAGGCGUCAGUGUUGUGUGUGGCGGGCGAUGAGAUGGUGUUGUGCGUGACGGCGACCAAUUCAGAAAGAGCCCAUGCGCUGCCACAUUGAUUUACUUGAUUUACUUGAUGCGCCAAAAUACGUCGUCCGUCGGCGAAACUUCACGCGCUAGCAAAAAUGAAUAGUAUGUGUUGGUAGUUGAGAUUUUACAAGUCAUUAUCUAUAUUUGCUGAGUUUGUUGGAUACACCCACCAUUAGAAACUUAUAUAUCUUUUUUACAGCUUUCAAUACUCUAAAUUUAGCUAGAAUUUAUAUCUAGUCUCUUGGUGCUCUUAAGCGAAAUGAUUGCUAGAUAUACAACCAAAAUGAUACGGCGAUGUCGUGUAUAUGUAUGACACGAGUCAUAUUUGUUUAUUCUUAUUAAUAUUUGGUACGAAGCACGCACACAAAUCCAGCUACGUAGGUACGACGUAUACGCGCGUACAUACAAAUGCGUGCACGUGUAAUGCACGCUUAUAUAUUAUUGUGCAAAUCCAAAUCAGAAUUAUUCCUGCAAAAUCCAAAUCACUAGCCCAUGCAAAUGCAGAGCCUAUUCCGGCCGAUCACGGGCAGAAGGUGACUUGGUAGUUGCUGUUGCCGCCACAUGCAUGGGUCUUCAUGUCGGGGGGGUUGUGGUACGCGUCGGGGCAUCCAGGGUCCGUGCACACCAGCCGCA